UGAAGAAGAAAAAGAUGUUGUGAAGAUAAAAAUCCAAACUGCAAUUGCAGCUUUAAAUGAUCCAGACAGCCCUAUGAGCAUGUGAAGAGAAAGAAUGAGGCUCAGCAUUGUGAAUUAUCCAAGAAUGCAUCUAGGGAUAAUAGAUGUCAACAACAAAAUCAGUUUUCUUCUUGUCAAGUUUUUCUACAGUAGUAAUUAGGCUGUAGUUUAGUUCCCUUUCAAGAAGAUGAGUGGAAUAAGUAAUGUGCUUUGGUUUUGUUGAUCUAUUUUUGUAUCUCUCUUGUGUGUAUAUAUGUUACACAAGUUUUUACGAAGGUCUGAUCUUUCUACUGUUUGGUUGUUUAGACCAAAGCAUAGUUUCUUCUCGCACUUCAAUAAUCUUGGUUUUUUUUUUAAAAAUUUUUUAACAGAGGAGGGAUGAGAUUUAAGAAGUUAGAAGAUGAAAGCCUCAAGGGAUUUUUAAAAGAUAAGUUGUAAUUUAUGAUUUUUAUGUUAUUACAAGUAACUCAUCUUGGUGGGAUCAGUACAACCAACUUACAAUUUAAAAAUAGAGUAAAUUUUAUAUACACUGACAGUGAUAUUAGAAACAAAAUCCAUGAAUUGUGAGAUGAAAACUAACAUAUAUUUAUACUAAACAAAUCACAUGGAGUGGGGUUUAAAUUUAAGACCUCUAAAUCAUGAGUUGUAAUCUGUACUUUUAAAACUUUUUACUCAACUUUUAUGAAUUUUGUCCUCGCAAAAGUAAUUGCCAUUUUUUUAUGCAAAUUAAUUACAAUUUUUACUCGCAUAUUAAAAGAACUAAUUCUACUUUGUACCCUUAAAUUUGUAUCACCUUUCCAUUUUAGAUACUUUGCACCUAAAACUCUCAAUAUUGGAUUGUUCGUAUCAUAAACUCUCAAGUUUGUCCUAAUUUAAUCCAAUAAAUGACAAAGUUAGCAAAAUUAACAGGAUAAAGGAUGGUGUAAAUUAAUGAUGGUAUAUAGUUUUAUUCUACCUGUGAUCCCUUAACUCCUUUUGACUACUUUCAGCAAAGCGAGUCAAGAGAUACAGAGAAAGAUCAAUCAAAAACCAAAGGGAAAUUAACUGCAGCCUAAUUAUCAUGGUAGAAAAUUUUGACAAGAAGAAAAUUGAUUUUGUGGUUGACAUCUAUUAUCUCUAGAUGCAUUCUUGGAUAAUUCACAAUUCUAAACCUCACUAUUUCUCUUAAACACAUGCUCAUAGGGCUGUCUGGAUCAUUUAAAGCUGCAAUUGCAGUUUGGAUCCUCAUUGGCCUGAAAAAGAUAUAUGGAAAAGAGAAUAUUUGAUAAUUAUUAUUAGCAGAAAAUUAGCAUAUAUAUAUAUGUAUGUAUUUCCAACUGUGCACAUGUUUGUCUCCAUAUUUCAAUAGAAGAUUUCAUUGAUAUUCUUGCACAUCAUGCAUUAAAAAGCUUGUACUACAUUUAGAAGAAAAUACUUAUAUUGUUAAGGGUUUGUGUAACAAUUUCUUAAUGGGCGUUUAGUCUUUAACAAUUGCUUAAUAGAGGCUUAUAAAGAAGGCUCUCUUGUGUAUUUCCUAAAUAUGAAAUUAAAGCUAAGAAAGCAUCUACAUGGAAGAGGUUACAAUAUAUGUGAGUCAGUACACUUGUCUUCUUGCUAGGCAUAAGAAACGGGCAGAAAUUGCUCUAAAAUAUUUAGAUUUAUAUAUUUUUGGCUUUUUAACUAAAGCAUGUAUCUUUUUACAACUAGAAUUUUUAUACAAUUAGUGUCCCUUAGGCACCCUAAUUUUUUUUUCUUAUAUUUUAAAUAGACAAAUUUUCUUUAUACGUUUAAUCUAUAGUAACCCUCUAAAAGUAUUCAUUAAGUUUUUGAAAAAGUCCAACAUAAAAAAUACACUAGAUAUUUUCAUCUUACCAUCUAAUUCAAUCCUUCAUUGAAGUGUAUUACUAUGAUCGUUCAAUCAAGGUGAAGAAUACCCAUUUGUCAUUUUAAAUCUUCUUUAUCAAUUAGAAAAUUCUCACAUUACUUCUCUCAUCAAUUAGACAAGUUGCCCACUUUGGUAUCUCAAAAAUUUUCAGCUAAAAGAGAGCUGUUUGAUUUCCGUGUGGAUUUAGUAGAUAAGCAACUUAAGGUAAAACUGUAUUCAGAAUUAACUUACAAGCAUCUCGUUCAAAAGUAGACUUUCUUAACCGCAUCAGGUCUUUUGUUACACAAUAAUGGUAUGCAGCAUUCAUGUUAUACACUCUAAUGUGUUAACACUUGUCCUUUCUAUUGACAUAAAAAAUAAACCAAACAUAUUUAGAAGUUUAGUAGUCUUAGAAGUAGAUUUAUUAUUUAGGAACUAGAUUAGAAUUGGUGCCAAACUUAGUUUUGGAAAAUCAGUUAGGUUAUAUUUAGGUGUUAGAAUUGAAAUAGGUUUCAUAAUUUUAUUUUUUUUAUUUAAAGACUUGAAGUCCACGUUUGUAGAUUGAGGAAAAUUGGUCUACUGAUAGAAUAAAAUUUUCUAAUUCCUCCAAGCCUUCUAGUUCCUUCGUAUUGUUCUUAUUGUGAAUAGAUCGUAUGGUCAUUCAUGACCAGUCCAAGUGAUACGAAAUUCCACAUUCUUUUUGAUAUUAUUGUGAUUUAUCCAGCCGUAUAGCUAUCCUUCUUAUUCUUUUGAUUUUUUUUUUUUUUUUUGCCUAUCGUUUGAUAUAAUACUGUGUUUUUUCUGCCGUGUGAUUUUUUAUGCUAACAAACUUUGCUCCGUGCCUUCUUUUGCGUACGGUUUUUCUGUUUUCAUCAAUAUUGAACAAGCUAAGGCCUUGUUUGCUAGACAAGUUUUUUGUCAAGUUUGUCUGCUACAAGUUUUUUAAAAACUUUAACUACAGUAAUCUCAAAAAAUUUUCAAAAAUUUUAAACUAUAUACUUCAAAAUAUUAAAAAAACACACUUCAAAAAUUUUUUAAAAAACUUCUACAGUAAGUUACAAUUAAAGUUUUAGAUAAAUACAAAAAAAAUCACUUAUCAAACGGGCCAAAUUACAUAGCAAAUCUGUUUCUCUAGUUUGAAAAUAUGAAUGUCUUCCGCUGUAAGUUUUAUGUGCCAACAUUUUUUUGAAUUAUCAUAAUUAUAUAUUUCUAAUUAAAUUGAACUCUUGAAACGAAUACGUGUCAAUACUUCAGAAUAUAUAACAUGGAUGUUACACAUUAGCGUACAAUAGAAGACCUAUAGCUCCUCCUUGGCUCGGGAACUCAUAGGAAACAGCAUUGACAAUGAGACCUCAAAAGAAGAACAGGAAACUCUACGUAAUGAAGCUAUCAUUGGCGCAUUUUCAAGGCAUUUUCAAGCGCAUUUAUUCAAUUGCGUCCUCCAAUUUGAUACUGAGUUUGAACAGAAUCGAAGUUUUCUUUCAUUGUCUUAAGACUACAGCAGUUUCAACAAUUAUUGCCCCGAAAUGGUUUGCAAAUGGCCCGAGCCCACUCGCUUUAAUUAGGUGGGAGUUUUCUUGUGUGGUAUACCACCACAAAGGCGAUAUUCAUUGAGGACUAUACUGACUUUAAUGGGUGCCUUUCUUUUUCUUCUUGAUAUAUGUUCUUUUGUUUGGAUUUCGCCUGGCCAAUCACUUUUUUUUUUUUUUUUAAAGUCAUUCAAUCAACUCAGUUACAUAAAUCAGGAGAAGUUGUAUAAAUUAAUCCACGUUAUAUUGUGAUUUGAUAUGUAUGAAAGCUUUAAAUGCAAAAAGAAAACAAAUGAAUGUAAAGCCUAUGAACUAUUUUUGGCACCAUCAAGUAGUGGUCUCAUCUAUGCUUAGAUUUCAAACAGUCUGUCGCAACUUUUACAUCAAUUGCAGUCUCCCUCUGAUAUUAAUAACGGUUGUACUUCCUGAUAAAGUUUAUUCCAUAUUUUCUCCUUGAACUUCUAACCUCUUGGCAGAAGUUCCCAUGACUUAGUUUUCUAGAGAACAGUUAACUGUUUCAUACCAGUCCAAUUAUUUUAAAGCACUUUUUAGUAGCCUGAGCAGGCAUGGAUUGGCACAUUUAGCCCUAUAAGAUUCAAUUUUUAGCCUCAAGAAAGGCGAUAUAGGUGGACCUUAGGCAUAAAUUGAAACCCAAUUUGACAAUACAUUCUGAUAAUCAUUAUAGUUGGAAAAUAUUCAGUGAGAGAAUCUUUAAAUUCAUUGUUCAUGUCACGCUCUCGACUUAAUUACGUUAACUUUUAGCCUUAGAUUUUGAUGAACAUAAUUGCAUUUACUCAGGUUCAUAUUUAGAGGAGUAUCAACUUCUACAUAUAUUGCAAAGGACAUUGAGGGGGACUAGCAAUAAUUGAUAUGACUCAUAUCACAAUGUUGAUUGUUCAGUAUGAGAAGUUUGAUUAGGGAAGAAAGUCCUUGCCAGGCUGGGGUGAGGAAACCAGAAAAAGAUGUCUCGUGACUUGACAAGAAAAAAGCCAAUUUUGGACUCGUUAAGGUCCUGCAACUAGCACCCAAAAUCAAGGAACCUUGGUAUUAUUGGAGUGAUUGCUUGGGACCGGAAGAGCCAAGUGAUAGCUGGAUGGGCAUUAAGUGAAAAGAAAUUCAGGAAGAUGCUGAAGGAUUACGGUUGGCACUGAUGGAAGUAAUUGAAAAAUGGUGGAGGCAAAAUUAAAUCCGUCUGCUCCAACAAUCAACUGAAUUUAAUGCCAGGAUGUGUACAGAUAUAGAUUUAGCUACCAUACUCGAAGACAUUUCACAUAUUCAGUUCUUGGAUUCAACUCCUUAGAACCUAGAACAGAUUUUGAUCUUACAAGUAGAAUAGCUGAUUCUGGUUCACGUAUCACCAAAGUUGAGAUUGGUUUCUAACAACUAAGCUGUGACUAUCAUAGGCUUUUGUAUAUGUGGCAAGUUGCUCCAUCUGAUGGACACUCCUUGCUAAGCAUUCCGAUAUUUAUUCUUUACUACUGAGACUCUGCAAAAUUUUAAAUUUUUUAGCAUUAACAAUUCCUUCUUCAUUGCGGCAACUUGAAUAUAAUUUCUGUACCUUGACAAACAUAAUUUUUUUUUCUUCUUUGCUUGAAUUUCUUGGCCUCCUUGGCUUAUGCCUCGAUCAAAUUCCUCUACAGAAACAACCCCAAUCAACAAUUCCUGGCAGGGUCAUUGCUUUAAUUGCUAAUACAACACCAACAACAAUAAUUUCGACAGGAUCCCUCUUAUCAGAUCAACAGCGAGUGUCCAAGACCAACUUCUGAUCUAAUUUUUCGAUAUUCGAGUACUCUAUCACAAACAUAUGACUAAUAUCAAAGCACUCUAUCACGUACAUACAUACAUACAUUAUAUAUAUAUAUAUAUAUAGUAGUCAUUUUGUCGAUACUUAUAUUGUACUAUACUAUAUAAGUGUUGGCAUAAUUAAACCAAAAUUCCUAAUAAUUAAUGUUUUUUUAUUUCUAAAUUAGAAGUUCUAGUCUAGUCACAAAAUUUUAGUAGUUUAUUUGGUUUUAGAGUUUCCUAAUUACCAAGUCUUGUGUGCUAUUUAUAGAAUGCCUAAUUAUUAUUUUCAAUUGAGAAGAGUGAGAGACAAAAAUUAGAGAGUUGUGAUUAUUGUAAAGACAAUUCUGCCUAAAAUCUAUGCCCAUCUCAAUAUAAGAGUCCGAUAUGCUUUAUGUACUUUAUAAUCAUCAAACUCCUAUUCUCUUAUAUAUCAUUGUUAUACGUAUCAAAUAUGCUUCUGCUAUGCGAUUUUAGUGCCUACAAGUAGGGAUGUUCAUAGACCAGGUAACUAGUCCAUUUGCAAUUUCACUGACCCUAACUACAAAUAGCAGUUUGACAAAAUUGUAUUUCAUACACUAAGCCUAUUCAAUCGGUUUACCUGCAGCAUAGGGUCGGGUAUAGGAUUGUAUACGAGUUGAACUACUCAUGAGCAGUUUGAGUCAAUAUUCGACUUGAGUUCGAGCUAAUUAAAUUGAGCUUGAACUUGAACUCGAAGUCAAAGAUACUUAACUCAUUAGUUUGCGAGUUGACCUGAUUAUAUAUAUAUAUAUAUUAUUUUAAUAGUAAAAUUAUACAUAUCUUUAAUAUUUUAUUAUUUGAUUAUUUGUUAAGAAAAAUUACUAUUUUAUUUAUUUUUAAAAAAAAAAUAAUUAUUUUUUAAGCUUGAGCUUGAGCUCAAUUUGACUCAAAUUUGAGGUCGAGUUUGGGCUCAAGCUCGAGUUGAGACACAGAUUGAUUUGGCUAAAGUUCGACUCGACCUAACUCGUUUACAAGCCUAGUCGAUUAUACAGGGUAACCUAUCCCUCUUGUACUUAUAGGAAAAUGGAAAAACAAAAUUAGAUUAACAAAGAAAAUAACACAAUACUUGUCCAAAUUAAUAAAAGUUGUUAAUCCUACAACUCUAAAAACCACCAACAAAAUAGAAAAUCAAAACACAAUAGAUAAUUAAAACAUAAAAAUAUUUCAAACAUUUAUUUUCAUUUUUCUACUUCUUGAAAACUAUUUAUUUUCAUUUUUUUUAUUAAGGAUGACAUGUUGCUUUACUACAUAAAAUGUAAGCUCUAAAAAAUAAUAAAAAAAAAUAGAACGGUGAAGUAGAUAGAAUUUAUGAGAAAGGAAAAGGAAUUUUGAUGAAAGAGAAAAAAUUAAGUAGCAGAGUAAAUGAAAUUAAUGGCAAUGAAGAUGGACAAUGGAUAAAGUAAACAAAAGAUAGGGUUCGAUAUACAAGUUUAUAAGUUGUGAAAACUAACAUGUAUAAUGGCAUGGGGUUCAUAACUUAAAUUAUUGGUAAAUGACUAAAUAAUUAUGGGUUGAGAUUUGGAUACUAAUUAUCUUAACCAACCUUGCAUGUAUGCGGGUUAAGUUUGGGUGACCACGAUUUUUGAAAAUUGAAAACCAUACCCUAACCUAAUUUUUCAAGUAGAUUUGGAUAGCUUAACCAAUUUAAAAAUUAUGUUGGUUACCCUAUUUUUUGGUUUGGACCAAUUCGAUUUUCUUGGUUACCCGUUUUUUCGAUUAUUUUUUAAUACCCCUACCUACAAGUGGUAUCACAACCCUAGACUUUGUUCCUGUGAUGUUCAUAAAAUUUAGAUUACAAGGUUGAUGCUAACAGGAUUUUGAAGGGUAAAUUUUUUUAUGAGUUAGAGUACUCGAACAUCGAAAAAACAUGGACCAUUGGAUCGGUCCUGGAAGUUAUUUGACAAUAAAAAAAUUGACUCUAAUUGGAUAGAAAUCUUAAAAAAGAGACUUUGUUGAGUUGAUGUUGUUGGACAAUGAUUAGAAGAAAAGAUCCUAUCAUAGUUGUUGAUAUUUUGGUCAUAUGAAACAGAUGAAAAAAAAUUCCUGUCUCCUUGUUCAUUCUGAUUGAUUUGUAAAAGUAAAAAUCUUGAUACUAGAUGUCAUUCAAGGAGGCUAAUAAAUUAAAUGUGAAGUGAUUAACAAGAAUUGAUGCAAAGAUGAACAAAGCAUUUCAAUACUUUUAAUGAAGAUUACUUUUGUUGGUCAUAAUGUGGAGCUAUAUUAAUAGAAAUUUUAGCAUAAUGAAGGCAUUGCUGACAUAAUUAAAUCAAACUUAAUGUUUUCUAUUUCUAUUAGUAGUUUAUUUGGUUAAGAUAUAGAGUAAUCAUUUGGUAGUUUUUAAAAAAUAUCACAAAAAUUUUUAAACUUUAAAAAUACCCCAAAAUGUAUUCCAAAAACGCCUCCAAAAACAUCACGAAAAACAUCUAUAGUAAAAAGUUUCAUAUGUACUGGUAUAGUAAAAUAUUUCAAAAACACCCCCCCCCAAAAUAGCUAAUCCGAAUGGAGUUAGGGUGUUUAUUGUUUUUAGUUGAGAGGGGUGAGGAGAAAAAUUAGGGAGAGUUGUGGUUGUUUUAGAGGCAAUUCUGUCUAGGCACAAUUUAUGUUAGUCUCAAAUAUAAGAGUUCGAUAUGCUUUAUGUAAUUUAUGAUUAUUAAACUCGUCUUUUCCCAUAUAUUAGUCUCAAAGUAUAUUUCAAAUGUCAUAUUUUUAGAAAUGUAAGAUUAAUUAGAAAAGGAAAAUAAACACAAGGAAGGGUGGGUAAAAUUAAAUAAAGAAAGUGUAUAAAUGCAAGGGAAGAGAAUAAUUGUUAGUAUAUAUAUGGUAGGUUAGGUGAAUUUUAAGUAUAUUAACGAGUGCUCAAUGGAUACUCGUUAGAAAAACCCUAUUUUUAUAUGUAUUAAAUAUACUUCUACUCUGCGAUUUUAGUGCCCACAAUAGGGUAAUUGGAGUUGGAUGACUUAGAUUUUCUUACUAAAGUUACCCUCAUUACAAAAUGUAGUCAUUAUGUAACGGCCAUUGUCAAAUAUACUUCUGCUAUGUGAUUUUAGUUCUUACAAUAGGGGAAUUGGAGUUAGAUGACUUAGAUUUUCUUACUAAAGUUACCCUCAUUAUAAAAUUUAGUCAUUAUGUAAUGGCUAGGCAUGUCAAUGGGUAGGUUUUAGGUUGGAUUCCUUUAAUCCAGAUUCAGAUCCAUUUAAUUUAGUUAGACCCAGACCUAGAUCAAGAUCCUUUUGGGUCUGAAAAAGUAAGUCCAUACUCAAACUCUUAUAGAUCUGGGUACCCAAUAGACAUCCAUGGGUAUUUUCUGAAUAUGCUAAAGUAAAAAUGUAUUAAAAAUAUAUAGAGUUCAUAAAUAAUAGAAAUACUAUCCAAUUUUUGUUUUCAAAUAAUAAAAUUAACAUUCAACAAAUUAAAUGCAAUAUUUUGAACUCAAAGAAAGAAUUAUUAUUGACAACUAUAUAUUUUUAAACAUUCAACUGCAUCCAUGACAAUAUUUCAUUUGUUUGCCUUUACCUUUUCUCCUUUUCUUGAAAAAGUUUGUACCAAUUACAAUGAUAACUAAGAUUAGUUUUUAAAAAAGAAAAUAACCAUAACAUAUAUAAAUAUUUAGUCUUAUUAAAAAAAUGUAAUUUUGUACCUCUUUUUCUUAUUUAAAUCUCAAUGUUGGCAGAUGUCUCGCAAUCCAACACUAAAAUAGUGAAUGAGAUAAAAAUCAUUUGAUUAAGGACCGGUGACAAAUAAAUAAUAGAAUAAGAAGAUUUAUAAAUACUUGCUCAUUGCUUUUUUUUUUUUUUUAUUCAAUCCAAUCAUCAAUAGUCACUAAUGUUUCAACCAUAUCUAGAAGCAAUUUAGCAUGAGUCUCAUUAAUCAUCCAACGACCAACACAGAAUGCAGAUUCUGAUGCCAUAAAUCUUAUUGUAUUCGAUCCAAUAGCCAUAAAAUAUUAUAUUAUUUUAUAAAUUUUCUCAUAUAUAUAUUAUUUAAUUAAAUAUAUAAGGGUUUGGGUAAGGUUUAGUAGGGGUCUGGAUUUGGAUAUGAAUUUUAGAAAACCAGACCCUACCCAAGUCCAUGACUCUCUCAUAGGGUUUGGAUCUGAAUUUGAGAAAUUAAAUCCAAACCUUAUCCAAAUAUAUUGGGUUUGGAUUGGAUUUUGGUAAGAUCCGAUCCAUUGACAUGCCUAGUAAUGGCUAUAAAUUUCUAUGCCUUCUUCUUGAUGAUUAUCAAGGAUAUUUAUGUAAUAACCUUGAGAUGUUACUUUAAAAGAAAAAUUCUAUACUAAACGACAUAUGAUUUAAACUAUAAAAACAAACUAAAUGAUCGUGUUAAUAUAUACACUGACAGUGUAUAUAAUAUUACUCAUUUUUUAAAUUAAGAAAAUUUUGAAUUAGUUUGAUGCUGAUGGCUUUUAAUUUUGGACACCACCUACAAUGGCGUUGGGAUCGUCCAAUCAAGGGAGAUUGGGAUCGUCCCAAACCUUAUCCAAAUAUAUUGGGUUUGGAUUGGAUUUUGGUAAGAUCCGAUCCAUUGACAUGCCUAGUAAUGGCUAUAAAUUUCUAUGCCUUCUUCUUGAUGAUUAUCAAGGAUAUUUAUGUAAUAACCUUGAGAUGUUACUUUAAAAGAAAAAUUCUAUACUAAACGACAUAUGAUUUAAACUAUAAAAACAAACUAAAUGAUCGUGUUAAUAUAUACACUGACAGUGUAUAUAAUAUUACUCAUUUUUUAAAUUAAGAAAAUUUUGAAUUAGUUUGAUGCUGAUGGCUUUUAAUUUUGGACACCACCUACAAUGGCGUUGGGAUCGUCCCAAUCAAGGGAGACUGAAGGAAUUUUACGAGGCGGCCACAUUGAAUACGCGAAAGAAAGAGAAAUUUUGAAGGGAUUUUGAAUUAGAAGCAUUUUGCUUGGAUGUAUAUUCAUAUCUUAAAAUUGUUAAAAACAGCUAGCCCAACCUAGCACUGACAUGUCCCAUGCAGAACUUUAUCAUCCACAAAUCAACUUUUCUGUUGUUGAAGAAUCACAAAUCGACUUUUCUUUAUUCAUUAAUAUGACAUCAUGUGGUUUGGCUAAAAUAAUUAUACUUUAACAAAAAGCAAACAGAAAAAAAAAAAGAGAGAGCAAAGGAUUUUUCCUACUAGUACACCUAGCUUAGGCGAAAUGCUAUAGGAACAUUCUGUCAUCGGUUCUCCUAGGUCGGUUUCGACCUUCCCUCGCUCCACUUUGGCUUUUCCUUGAUCGAAAGGAGGUGUUAGAAUGAUAUCCCUCAUCAUCCGCAUCAUGAUCAGCACUCUGAAUACUCGAAACCCUAUUGUGUGUAUCUCCGGUACCUCGCAUCUUAAUGGCAGCCAAUCUAUCGGAUAUUUGUGUCAUCACAAUUUCAUGCCUCUCCGCUUGUUUUUGAAGAGUUUGGAGCACCAGUUUGAGUGACAUGUUGGUCUCAGAAUGCUCAGGCAUGUUCCCUUCUUGAGACAUAUUGUCCAACCUGCAAAAUAAGUGUAUCCUCGUCCACCUUGCAAGCACUCGUCUAUCACUCAAGGAAACACACUUACUCUCAAUUUUCCUUCUCGAAAUUUUUAAAACAACUCAAACUCUCAAAAAUUUUAGAAUUAAUUACCAUAUAAGCAAGUAACAAGACACAAAGCAGAAUUUUGUAAAUCUUAGAAAAACUCUACCCGAAUCUAGAACUGUUUUUUUGAGCUGUUGUUUUUGCUGAGUUUCUGGUCAGUAUUUUGGAGGGUAAGUGGUGCUUUUGGAAUGCUCAAAUAAUGUACGAACCAGUCCUCAAAUUUCAGUCAAAUCGGCUCGCAAAGACUAGCUCAACCGAUUUUAGAAAUUCAAGAAUUUAAAGGCGGUUUGGCUAAGGUGUUUGUGGUGGUUUAGGUUUGGUUUCAGAAAUUGAUUUGGGGGUGUCUGGGGCUGGUUAGAUCGUUUGGGGUCGUUGGAAUUCAAUUAAAAUUGGAGACUCAAGAAUUGGAAACCAAUCAAGAUUUGGAGACUCAAGUUUUGGGAAACCAAUCAAGUUUUGAAAACUAAUUAAGAAUUGGAAACCAAUCAAGAAUUGGAAACUCAAGAUUUGGAAAACUUAAUUUCCUUUGUGUGAGAGCCGAUUCCUUCUCUUCUUCCUUUUUUUUCGUUCUCCUUUUUUUUUUUUUUUUGCUUCGGCUCUUCAAGGAAUACAAAUUCAGGUCACACCAACAAGUUCAAGAAAAUGGAUAAAAGGUUAUGUAAAUUCCAAGAAGACCCUAGUUCUUGAUUUAUUAUUCAAGAACUUUCAAAACAAGACUUGGUGGUCCAAGAACUUCAAGAAUUUGUUCAAAAAGCUCAAGAACUUCCCCAAAUUACGUUGUGGUAUUUAGGGUUUACAAGAACAAUAACCAAUACUCAAGAAAUAGGCAUAACAAAAUUUCAACAAUACUCAAAAGAAUUCCUGCAAUACUCUAGCAACUUGGACACUAAAACAACAUAAGAUACAUGACUCUUUUUUUUUUUUUUGUCUUUAAACCCUAACAACCCAAACACAAGUAUAACAGACCCAAGAACUUGGACAGAAAACACAAAAAAGACAAUACCCAAACAGAUUUAUUUUUUACUCGGAUGAACAGUAACGUGAAUAGUACGCUACAGUACGAUGAACAGUAUUCGGUACAGUAACGAUGAACAGUAUGCUACAGUAUUUUUUUUUUUGACAAAAGACACAAACUAACAAGAUAUGAAUAACUUCAAUUAAAAGAGAAUUAACCUGAUGCUCUGAUUACCAACUGAUGAGCAACCCUAGGGGAAGACCCUCCUAGACCAACUGAUGAGCAACCCUAGGGGAAGACCCUCCUAGACCCUCCCAACCUUGUAAUUAUCAGAGUUGGAUCUUUUCUCCCAAUGGAAAUUGAAGUCGAUUGUUCUCACAAACUCAAGACCUCUGACACACAAAGGUAUUCGGCAAUCUUAAACAAAUAAAGAUGGAUGAAGAGACACCACGAUUAGGGAACAAAGUAUUCGAUAAAGUCUGAUUUGAAUCCUAAGCUAUGAAUUCAAGAAUUCAAGAGUAAGUUCGAUUAAGAACUUGAAGGAAAAUUCCUCACGAUUUCUGGUUGUAAUUUUCUGUCCUUUCACUCAUAUAAUAGGUGCCUUUUAUAGGCUAAAACUAGGGCAAAUCCGGCCCACAUAAACCUAGAAUGGGCAUUCGGUCCGUAUAAAGAGCCAGCUCUUUAAGGCUUCCCGAUAAGGCCUAAUAAGUACUCCCUCCGUCCCAGAAUAAGGGACGUUUCUUGGGAUUCUAACUUGUUAUGCACAGUUCAACCAAUUUGAAUGUGAGACAUCUUUUUCCAAUUGUGCCCUUUUGACCGAUGUCAAAUCUUAAUGGCUGUCUACGGUGAUGUUAAAAGAAUCUAUGGGUCUAUGCAAAGUGAAAGUUUUUUUUCAUGCGAUUGCCAAGCACGCACCUAUUUCUGGCCACCAAAAUUUUUGGUGCUAUCCACGCACGUUUCUUUUGGAUGUCUAUUUAUUGCUUUUGUGGGUUCUAUCAUAUUUGUUUUUUAUUUUAUCAAUGUCUCUUUUGAGGCUACAAAUGGAAUGUUAGAGAAAAAAAUUGUAGUGUGACUCAAAUUUUGGGACAUGAAAAAAGGUGAACUAUGACAAUAACAAUGGGACGGAGGGAGUAAUAAAAUACUCAACGAUUAACAACUACUAAACUAGGCAGUCUUAAACCAACUACCAACUAAGCUAACAAGUAUGAGAUCUUUCACUUCAAACGUACAAGUGAACAAGGUAAUUUCAUGGUCCAUCAAAUCUUCAAAUUUAGCUUGCUCCUUGCUUGUAUGGUGAAUGAUCAAGGCUCGUAAAGUUUCCUUCACCUUCUUGGAUCUUGAUCUUGUCAUCGGACCACCAAUGUUGAUCAAAGGGUCCUUGACCCAAGGUUGAAAUUGUUGCACAUCCGUAUCCGUAUCAGAAACUUUGGAUAACAAGUCCCAAACCGUAGUUAGUUUCAAAUCUGUCCAAAACACUGUUUUCAUUCACAAAGUCAGUUUUGCAUUUCAAUCAUAAAUCACUCAAUUUAAUUCGGAAUUGAACGUGGUUGGUGGCGUUAGAAAAUAGACUCAUAAGGAUAUAUUUUCUCAGAAGAAACCAUUUUCAAAAUCUAUCCAUAACCAACUCAUUCAUGAGCAUCAAGUUGCAACUCAUGUGCCGUCUUCCAGGAAGCAACGAAAUGGACGAUGGAUUUCAAACGAAUUGUUUGGCUUGCUCAAGUGGAACCAGAAUGUGAAUUUUAUACCAAUAGAAAGCUGGGAAUGUCUAGUUUCCAGUGGGCAAACGGCACUCGAUUCCGAUAUCGGAGUAAAAGGAUAUAAUCAAAACAAAUACACUACCUGGGUGAAUACAUGAUAAAUUUCUAGAUUUUUAAGCUUUCGUAAAUCCAACAUUUGGGUGACCAAAUCAAGUUAUUUUUCAAUUCAACUUUUUACACAACUAAUAUAACAUGUAAACAACAUAAACAAGCUAUUAGAACCUCAAAAUUUUGCACAAAAGUGGUCGGACAAGGCAGGGGUAAAAUGGUCACUUUUGCUCCAAGCACCUCUUUUGAUUUUCUACCAACAAUACAACAUUAAUCCACUAAUUUAAGCAUUAAACCACCAUUAAUUUCAUCAUCAAUAAUCAAAUCAGUCUUUCCAUCAAAAUUGGUAGUUCGUAGAGCCCACACAAUAAGAAUCCACCAUAAACAAGACUACCCACAUGCAUACAGUAGCUUAGAUGUGCAUUACUACUUCCAUAAAACAAGAAUUUGAGAGUUGAUUGUUACCUACUCCACUUGGUGCGCAAGAGCAGAAAUUUUCGAUCCCUCCUUGGCCCAAGAAAACCUGAAAACAGCCCAUUUUCUUAGCUUAAUGUAGUCUCCAAGUGAUUAGCUAUGUAUGGUGAAAUUUUGGUGUGAUUUGGUGAAGGAUUAGUGAAGAUUUUAUGAAGGAAAAAUGAAGAACUUUGGUGGGUUUUCUUCUUGAGGUGCACGGCUGUCUUACAGCAAGAAAAUGAGAGUGUUGCACGCCACUUUAGAUGAUGAAUUGAAGGGUUUUGAUCUAGUGUGAUGCACCUGUGAGAAGCUUAAUAAUGUGUGGCCCAAAAUGCUCCAAAAGUCAAUUAAGGAUAGUGCGCGUACACGCGGGCUUCGUGUUCGAUUCUUGUCGAUUUUAUUUCACUAGUACACUAAACCUCUAAUACACUUGUAUACAUACUAUUGUUAUUCACUCUUAAUAGUCCAAAAAUAAUGGGUUUAAGUUUUUCAAUUAAUCAUGUGCGUAAAAACGUGUACUUCCGAUUUAAGCGCGAUAAAGUGAAAUUUCCAAGAAAUUCUUAUAACGAUAGUAUUACUAACUAAUACUUGAAUACUUAGGCAUAAAAACACCUAUUUUAAGACCAAUGUGCAAGCCUCUAAUUUUCCAAGCUUAUUGUAUUCUCGAAUCGAUUAUUGACUCUAAUCGUGUAUUCACUAUUUUCACUUAACGAACUUCCGAAAAUUAAAUUUUGAAACAAGUCACUUUAAAAAUAUAACUAAGCUAUAAAAUCAUGUAAUUAGGUCUAAAUAGACUAGAAAAUAAUAUUCGGAGUAAAUGGGCAAUUAAAUAUUUAAAUAACCUCGAAAUGGAAUUUAAAAUAAUAAAUUUUGCGAAACCUCACAUGAGUCGAGUUUUAACUCCUCAAAUCUCAAAUUAACUUUUCUUAAUGUACUAUUGAUCAUUCUUACUUCUCCAAAAUUAAUAUACUCUCGAUUCAAAUGUAGUCUCGAAAAACGUAUACUCAUUGUUCCGAACUAAACAAGUUUUCGAAAAGUAAAUUUUUUUAACAAAACGUUUUAAAAACAUAAGAGAGGUGUUUUUGUAUAUAAAUGGAUUUUAAGUAGUCGAAUUAAAUAAUUCGGAGAAAAUGAGUAAAUAACUAUUUAAAUAAAUCAGUAAUAUAUGACGAAAAUAAGAAAAUUUUCGGAUCCUCACAACCUCCUCUCCUUAAAAGAAUUUCGUCCUCAAAAUUCACAUCUAGGAUAAUAUCAUAUUCCUUAAGAGUUAUUCUUAUCAAAUCGAUCAACAACUUACAUUUUCCAACCCAUAUCUCACAAUUUCUAUUCAUCCAAUUAGCAAUGAACUUUAAUUUCCCAAUAGGUGUUUUGCUUCCAAGUUGUAAGACAAGUUAUCACACUUUACUUAUACCAUUCAUGGAACUGGAGUUUACACAAGAGUAAUUGGUUCCAGUGUCAAUUAAAACUCCAGUUUAAAAGAUUCAAUCUUGUAGUUCAAAACUCGAAUAGAGUGAUAUAUUGUCAGUUGAAGACUAAACUUAUCAAAAUUUUCGGACUUAAUUUGUCCAAAUCGAGUCAAUCAUAGCAUGCGAAAUAAAAUCGAGGGAUUUAAUGUAUUUUGGAUAUGUAUGUGGCAAAAUGCAAUUCAAAAUUUCAAAACUAGAGUUAAGGAUACAAACUUUUCUUUAUAAUGCGAAACUAAAUUUUCUUAAUCAGAAACUUCAAAUAAUAUUUUUACCACAAUCAUCAAUACGUUUAAGAAUUCUUCAAAUACGUUUAAGAAGAUUAAUCAUGCAACUCAAUAUGUGGAUACUAAAAUACAUCUAUAAUAAAAUAACAUAUACAGGGAGGAUAUUUCAAAAAUUCUCUCAAAGUUUUAAAUUAAGAGCUGCAUUUGAGUAGACGUAUAUUUUCGAAAACACUUUUAAAAAAGAUAAAUAAACAUGCAAGUUCAUAUAUUCAUAAACUUCGAUCCAACGCCUUUAUCACCCUUCACUUCUAAUCCAAAGGCUAGCUCUAAUGGUACAUAAAACUUUGUCAUUUUUACUCUCCAAUUCACAGCAAAUAUUCACUCUUAUUCUUAAGGAAAGAUCCGAGUCUAAACUUUGCUCGAUUUCUGAUUCUUACACGGGUUCAAGAUGCAUAUACAAGUUACAAAUACAUUUAAAAUUAAAGCAUGAUUCUUUGAAUAUAUCAAAAGUCAUAGUACAAGUUAAGAGAUCACAAACAAGCCAAGUAUGUCAAAGAUAGGUCAUGGACAAUUAAGCGCCACAAAAACAAAAGUACAUGUAAGCAAAUUACAAAGGAUCUCACGGUAUGCACCACCCCUACUAUCAUAGGCAGGAGCAAAAGCAAAAAAUCAGAAGCCUAGUUAGGGAAAAAUCAGAAGCAUCCAUGAUACCAAACCACAUUAUUUGAAUAAUUAUAAAUUCCAAAUUCCAUCCAACCUAAGCCACUUUUUAAGUCCUUAGUCUAAAACUUCCAACGAAUACGAGUUUUCCUUACUAAAUUCAAGAUGAAAUUCUUAUAUCAGCUAGGGUAUUGAGUCGAACCAAAAGAAAUGCAAAAGUGUCUCAUUUCAAGCUCAACUACAUUCCACUUCUCUCUGGUCAAUAUCGUCCCACAUUUGAUUAAAAUAUUCUCCAUCCGAUGUCUCACUUCUUUUACUACCCAAACUAGACGUCCAUUGACCUCUUACACUUGCUCUCACAAAACAUUAACCCGUUCUUAUUCCCUACAAAUGAAAAUCUCAAGUCCAAUACAAAAAUCCUCCAUGUUUUGACCUUUGUUAUUAGAACUUAUCUCAAAACCACUCAUGAUUUCUAUUCACAUCAUAAUACACGAGAUUAUAUCCCUUCCUAAGUCACAAGUAUUCCAUCAGAAAAAGUAUUUAGUACUCAAGUACAAGAAUCCAAAACUAAGAGAAUUUAAAAUUCAGGCCGCAUGCUCCCAAGUGCAAAUCAAUAAAGUUUAAGAUUCCUACCUGACGUACAUCACUAUCUAUCUCAAGUAUUAUGAUAAAGGUUUUACGCUUACCGCUUACGCACAAGAAGAGUACUUACUCCUUUAUAUAUAUUCACGUAAUUGAGACCAUAUCACCACUUGGCCCAAGCUCAUUCUGUGCAAAGACCACGCGAAACUACUCCGAUUUUUAUCCCUACAAGUAGCCGCUUAACUUUCAAACCAGACCCACAGUCCGGCAUCCUAAACUUUUAAGUCUAGGAUAUACUAUAAACAUCUGAAACCUAAACUCUGAUACUAACUGUGACGCCCCCACUUCUCCCAAGGGCGAACCCAAGGGUAUCCACGGGACGCAUGCCCAACUCUCGCCAGGAUUCGAGACAAAACCAAUUCAAACCUAGUCUAAUACUAACAAUGAAAUCGGAAUAAAGGUAUGAAAUCAUUUCCAUACAUAAAUACCCAGUCUUACAUCACAAUUUCAAAUUUACAAUCACUUUUUCCAAAAUAUACAACCUCCAAAAUGUCUAGUCGAUUACAAUCACAACACUAAUACAAAAGUGCCUCAAGUCAGCAUUUGCUUAACUCCCUCCAAUCGGGUUCCUGUUAAGGAAAACAAACUAAUGGGAUGAGCCAAUACUCAGUGAGACCAAGAAACACACAUGCAAACAUGUAAUCCAAGUAGCCACAAAUUACAUAGUAAGUAAAGCUAUAAGUUCGAAUAAUUCACAUUUCAAAUAGGAAAAAAAAUAAACCGAAACAAUUCAAGGAUACUGUUGCUCUCAGGAGCUAAAUUCCACGUAGUCGAGUCAAAGUUUUGAUCACAUCUCAUGUUGACACUCCAUCAACCACAUAAGUAUCAAAUCCGUAGAUACACCACUUUACUUCGAAUCCCGUCACCGUUACACCCCCUUAUUGGGUCCGCUCAUCAAAGUUUUUGAUAAUACUCGAGUAUAUCAUGGCAAUACUGUGCGAGUAAUGCCGAACAAGAUUUCUCCAAUAGAUCAUACUCUACGAAUAUCUCAUGGUUUGCUAAACUUAUCGACCAAGCCUAUGCUGGCUCAAUUCACAAAGUUAGCCAAUGAGUUUGGGCAUCCCCCGAAUACGAAUACGAAUACGAAUAUAAGUCGAUGAGCAACGCUCAAAUCGACGAUUUCAAAUAGGAAUCACAUAUACGAAUCACAAAUACGAAUUACAUCCAUAUUACUAAGUACAAGUCAAAUAUGAAUUCAUAUAGCCAAAUACGAAUAUAAUUUCAUUUGAAGGAGAACAAGUGCGGUAAAGUACACAUUCGUCUCUCAAAGUUCAAAUUCGUAUAACGGAUAAGAAACAGUUAAUCACUUAGCAACAAAUUCAUGCACUUGACACUCACCAAUCGAAACAAGGGAGUAAGUACGAACCUUUAGGUGUUCCCCUCGAGAUCCUCUUGAAGGUCUCCUUGAGCACCUGACCAAAUAGUAAUUGUCUAUUACACACUAUCACUUAAAACCCCUAAUUAUCAAGGAAGAUUGCACACUUGUACAAUUUAAGAAAAUUUCACGAAAAUGAUCCUUAAUUACUCGUAAAUCGAGACUCAAAAAUGAGGUUUUAAAACACAAGCGAAAUCUGAUUUUUAUCUUUGAAAUCAAGUGUAAAACGGUUUAGCAAUAUCGAAGGGAAAUAGAGAGUUCGCAACCCUCAAUUUCCUUUAAGUUCGGAAAUUUCAGAUUUGUCACCCAUACUUUGAAAAAUCGUAUCUCAUUCUCUACAAGUCCAAAAUUGGAAAACUUGGUGCCAUUGAAAACUACUUCCAAAGUACUAAAAGUUCCUAGAGGACACCUUUCCAUGAUUCUAAUUGGAAAAUAUUCAAAAUUUAGCCCAAAGUUGCUGUUUUAGAAAGUCAAGACAGAUUUGGGUUGAUUUUUGACAAAGUUUGAAAAUUCGGCAAAAUUCAUACAAUUCGAGCUGGCCUCUAAAAUUUGGAACUCUAUUAGAGUUGUAAUUCAAGUUUAAAACAAAAUAAGUGGAAUGAGAAUUGAAGUUUCGAGCACCAAGAUAUGGUAGCUCAAAGUUAUCCAAAUUUCCUUGUUAAACAAGGGUUUUCCAAAAUCAAGUCACGAACUUUGGAAGUUUAGUUGAGCAAUGAAACGGCCUCAGAAUAACACCAAAAUUAGCAGUAUAAUACUUCCAUACAAGGGUUGUUCCUCUACUAAAUUUCAUGGAGAAAUAAGCACAGAAAGUGGGUUAACAAAACCGUUGAAAUCACAAGAAAUUCUAAGGCUAAGCUGCCUUUAAACUUCGAUUUUGCCGUUUCCAAACAUUUGGUCAAGGAACAUCUCAAACAUGGUUCAUUCAAGUAGGAAAUGUCCAAAAUAUGUUCAAGGUACAUUCGAUAGAUGAUUUACAAUAAGAAACUUUGGAUAACAAGUCCCAAACCGUAGUUAGUUUCAAAUCUGUCCAAAACACUGUUUUUGUUCACAAAGUCAGUUUUGAAUUUCAAUCAUAAAUCACUCAAUUCAACUCGGAAUUGAGGGUGGUUGGUGGCGUUAGAAAAUAGACUCAUAAGGCUAUAUUUUCUAAUAAGAAACCAUUUUCAAAAUCUGUCUAUAACCAACUCAUUCAUGAGCAUCAAGUUGCAACUCAUGUGCUGCCUUCUAGGAAGCAACGAAACAAGACAGUGGAUUUCAAAUGAAUGGUUUGGCAUGCUCAAGUGGAACCAAAAUGUGAAUUUUAUACCAAUAUAAAGCUGGGAAUGUUUAGUUUCCAGUGCCACAAACGGCACUCGAUUCCGACAUCGGAGUAAAAAGAUAUAGCCGAAACAAAUAUACUGCCUGGGUGAAUACGGGAUAAAUUUCCAGAUUUCUAAGCUUUCGUAAAUCCAACAUUUGGGUGACCAAGUUAUUUUUCAAUUCAACUUUUUACACAACUAAUAUAACAUGUAAACAACAUAAACAGGCUAUUAGAACCUCAAAAUUUUGCACAAAAGUGGUCGGACAAGGCAGGGGUAAAAUGGUCACUUUUGCUCCAAGCACCUCUUUUGAUUUUCUACCAACAAUACAACAUUAAUCCACUAAUUUAAGCACUAAACCACCAUUAAUUUCAUCAUCAAUAAUCAAAUCAAUCUUUCCAUCAAAAGUGGGAGUUCAUAGAGCCCACACAACAAGAAUCCACCAUAAACAAGACUACCCACAUGCAUACAAUAGUUUAGAUGUGCAUUACUACUUCCAUAAAACAAGAAUUUGAGAGUUGAUUGUUACCUACUCCACUUGGUACACAAGAGCAGAAAUUUUCAGUCCUUCUUGGCCCAAGAAAAUCGUGAAAACAGCCCCUUUUCUUAGCUUAGUGUAGUCUCCAAGUGAUUAGCUAUGUAUGGUGAAAUUUUGGUGUGAUUUGGUGAAAGAUUAGUGAAGAUUUGAUGAAGGAAAAAUGAAGAACUUUGGUGGGUUUUCUUCUUGAGGUGCACGGCUGUCUUAGAGCAAGAAAAUGAGAGUGUUGCACACCACUUUAGAUGAUGAAUUGAAGGGUUUUGAUCUAGUGUGAUGCACCCAUGAGAAGCUUAAUAAUGUGUGCCCCAAAAUGCUCCAAAAGUCAACUAUGGAUAGUGCGCGUACACGCGCGCUUCGUGCUCGAUUCUUGUCGAUUUUAUUUCACUAGUGCACUAAACCUCUAAUGCACUUGUAUACAUACUAUUGUCAUUUACUCCUAAUAGUCCAAAAAUAAUGGCCAUAAGUUCGUCAAUUAAUCGCGUGCGUAAAAACGUGUACUUCUGAUUUAAGCGCGAUAAAGUGAAACUUCCAAGAAAUUCUUAUAACGAUAGUAUUACUAACUAAUACUUGAAUACUUAGGCAUAAAAACACCUAUUUUAAGACCAUUGUGCAAGCCUAUAAUUUUCCAAGCUUAUUGUAUUCUCGAAUCGAUUAUUGACUCCAAUCGCGUAUUCACUAUUUUCACUUAACGAACUUCCGAAAAUUAAAUUUUGAAACAAGUCACUUUAAAAAUAUAAUUAAGCUAUAAAAUCAUGUAAUUAGGUCUAAAUAGACUAGAAAAUAAUAUUCGGAGUAAAUGGGCAAUUAAAUAUUUAAAUAACCUCGAAAUGGAAUUUAAAAUAAUAAAUUUUGUGAGUCCUCACAUGAGUCGAGUUUUAACUCCUCAAAUCUCAAAUUAACUUUUAUUAAUCUACUAUUGAUCAUUCUUACUUCUCCAAAAUUAAUAUACUCUCGAUUCAAAUGUAGUCUCGAAAAAUGUGUAUUCAUUGUUCCGAACUAAACGAGUUUUCGAAAAGUAAAUUUUCUAACAAAACGUUUUAAAAACAUAAGAGAGGUGUUUUUGCAUAUAAAUGGAUUUUAAGUAGUCAAAUUAAAUAAUUCGGAGAAAAUGAGUAAAUAAAUAUUUAAAUAACCAGUAAUAUAUGACGAAAAUAAGAAAAUUUUCGAAUCCUCACAGAUAUGAUCCGUUUACGAAUUAAAAAUAAUUUAAUAAACAUAAAAAUUAUUUUAUCUAACUAAACUAAGUUAUUCUUUUUUUUCAAAGGCAUUAAUUACUUAAUCCUAAAUGAAUUUAUUUAAUUUGUGUGAAUUAUUUGGUUUUGGAAUUAUUUAUUUAAAUUUUUAUUAUUUGAUUAUGUAAUUAGUUUUGUGAGAAUUUGAUUUUAUUAGAAAUUACAGUAAUAAAUUAAUAAAUUAAAAUUAAGUUUCGGGUCACUUUGGGUCGACCCGCCAACCUGAAAUUUUCGGUUCGUGUCAGGUAUCCUGACUCGUUUCGGGUUGGCGGGUCAGGUUCGGGUCAACAGGUUUUCUAUUAUACCCGAGUCUCAACCCGACCCGCCAACCCGAAUUCAACCCAAUUGCCACCCCUAGUGUGAAGUAUAAUAGAGUAGUAGAGGUAGAAGUAGUUUAGCUCUAGCUUCAUAUUGAGAGUUCCUUUCUUAGUUUAAGAGCUUUGAGAGAAAGCUGAAAACAUUAUUGUACCAAAGUUAUUUGAGAGAUCAACUUGUGAAAGAAUUCAAGAAUUCAACCAUCAAGAUAUUGAAUACGAAUUCUUCUUCCUAAACUUGUCUCUUAUUCUUAUUUGUUAUACUUUGUUGCAAGUUUGUUUCAUGCUUAGAUGUUCUUAAUAUGAUAUCUAGCUAAACUUUUUUAUAUCCUAGGGUGAAGAUGAACUUGUUAUAGUUUUGAUUUAAAGUACUAGGGAAUGAUUAUGCUUUUCCAUGAUUUGUUAGUUUGGAAAUUUGAGUUUAUGCUUUAUAAUCGUUUGUCCAUCAACUAUGAAUGAUUUGAUAAUUAUUGAGCAAUGAAAGUUGCCUUGAAAUAGAUCUAAGUUCUUAAACAUUAGCCUUAUUCUCACGAAAGUAGUGAAUAAUGGUGGGCUGGAUUCAUAUAAGAACUUCAUUGAACUUAUUUAACUUGUUUCUUACCUUUUCUUUAAGAACAUAGGUGAAGGAUGAUUCAAGAAGUUAAUGAAAUUGGUGAAAGCAUUCUAGAGGAAUUAGCCAAGGUGAUUUCUCUCAAAAAUAUCCAUUAGCGAAAGCAAGGAUAUACAUUUGAAAGUUAUUCCUUGGACAAUUCACGGAAGCAUAAGUAUAAUCAUCUUAACUAACUUUUAAUCUUGACAAAACAAGGAAUUCUAAUCCCUAAGACUCUCACAUUUAAUCUCUAUGCAAUUCUAAUCUAACUUAUCUUUACUUUCAUUUACUUUCUUGCAACAUAUCGCCUAUAUGGUUGGUUUUUUACCACCUAAUGACUGGUAUUAUAUUUAUUGUUUAUGUACUAUGGCCGGUUAUAUUGCCUAAACUAACAUGUCCUAUGGCUGGUUUUACCAUCUAAUUAACUUUCUUUGUUUUUACUUCUUUAACUUUAAUUGUCUAGAUAAUAAAGUAAGCAAUUAAAAUCAAGUGAUUACCACAUUCUAAGUCCCUGUGGGAUCGACAUCUAGUAUCCCUAUACUCAAUAAACGAACCGUGCACUUGUAGAAAUAGGGUAAUGAGGUUUUCAAAAUUUGUAAUGAGUAAAAAGUUCCUAUCAAUAAGAGUAGAUAUGGAUUAGUUAUAAGUAUAGUUAAUUCACUAUAAGAGUAAAUUUCACAUACAUUAGGAAAUUGUACCAUGCUUAACCAAGGUGAUAAAUUGCGAUAAUCGGAUCAUUUAUCUAAUAAUGUUUGAGAGAAAACCAAACCUAAGAGAUUUUCUUGUGUUUGUAUCUUUGUUUAUUUAUGGUUCUUAGUAUAGUUUUAUUGUCUUCUUGUUGAUGUUAACCUAAAUAAUACAGGAAUUUGAAUAGGGUUGGUAUUUGAUCAUUUUUCGCUAUGAGAUUAAUACUUGAAUAUUCCCUAUAAUCGUGUACGGCCUGUGCACUUGCAAUAGCAGAAGUUUGAAUAUAAUGUAAGACUCCUAAUCAAUAUAGGGAGAAAUGUAGCUUUGGUCCUUAAUGUUUGGCAUUUAUGCAAAUUUAGUUCUAAAGUCUUAGUAGAAAUAAAUCUAGUCCCCUAAUAUUUGGUACCUAAUGCAAUUUGAGUUCUUAAAAUUUUGACAAAAAAAAAAAUUUUGGUCCCUACUAUUACUAAUUUGAAGUAGACUUAGGACAAUUGACGAAUUUUCUCAAAUAUUUACAGAAUCAAUCAUGUGCAAUCACAUGCUUGUUGAAUCAAACUUCUUAAAAAAGAAGCAAACUAACAAGCAACCUUGAACGAUAAUAAUAACUCACAUGAUGGUAUGUUAGUAACUAAUUAACCAAGAAACAAAAAAAGGAAAUUUGUUAACCUAUGCAGUAAUUAAGUAUUAUGAUUUUUUUCUUGGGGCAUUGAAGAUCAAAAGUGAAAAUGAGUUUUCGAUUGAUGAACUGGGUGGUUCAACUAGUUUUAAUAUUAUAGUUUAAAAUUAUCCUUCUUUUUAGUAGUUAAUUAGUUAGCAAGUAAAUUAUUAGUUCUCAAUUUUAUUGUUUAAAGCUAGCUACUAUUUUUUUUAUAUAUUUUGAAAUUUAAUUUAACAAACAUAUGACUAGACGUAACUAAAUUUCAUUAGUAAUUGGGAAAAUAUUUUCAAAUGUCCCAAAGCUACUUUAAAUUGGACACACUUGGGAUCAUAUUUGAUCUUGCCAAAAUUUUAGGGACUAAAACUGCAUAUGUGCUAAACGCUGGUGACUAGAUUUACUUUUGCCAAAAUUUUAAGAAUUAACACUGUAUAGGGGCUGGACAUUGGGGACUAAAAUGAUUUUUUUUUCCCGAUGAUUAGUUUUGCCCUCCAAUUGCGGUACUACUCGAACAUUUGAACUUCCAUCAUUCCACAAAGAAAAACCAAGAAUUCAUCAACAACAAAAAAAUCAAAAUCACAUUUGGCAAAAAACUAAGAAUUAAAAUUCUAAUAGCUCCCAAAUUCGAGUGAUCGGUCUCAAUACUAAAUGAAGUCAUUGACACCAGUACACAUAAAGCAUGCUAGUCUCAAUCCUCAAACAAAAGACUACGGCGGGUGCAAUUAUACGUGCAAUUGUACAGGGUGUUAAACAAAUUGAAUCAAGCCAGUUUAGCUUGGCCAGAUCUAAACUGCUAAUAUAAAAUUCAUAUCAAAUCAGAGCAAGCUAUCCUAAUUCAAGUAGUCAGAUGCAUGGUGCAACUGCAAAGAACUUGUGUGAGAACCCGAAAUUUCUUAUUUUCUAGACAGCUUUAUUUUAUUUAUUUGCACACAUUUCCUAUCUUUUCUUUAUUAUGAAAAAUCUCUAAAUAAUUUUUAUAAGUAAAUACAGUUUUAAACUCAUUUUCUAGUAUAAGUUAGCUCACGAGAUAUUAGAAGUGAAUUUUGGACGUGGGACCCACUAGUGCGUUAAGUGAGAGAAAUUCGACCAAUUAGGUUACGUUUUGUAUACCAAAAUUAAUAUACUAGGUGCUAAGAGAUAAUUAGAGAUUAUUUAGAUGGUUUAAUUUUGGAGAGACAAAAAGAUAAGCUUGAACCAUUAAGGAUGCCAUGUGUCGCGACCCGAUUGGAUGGUUGACUUACCUAACUUUCUUACCUUUACUAAUAAGAACAAUUUUGACCCAAAAUCAUCCCCAAUUUUCAUCCUCUUGGCCGAACCUCUUAGGGAGAAAAAAUGUGAGGACUCGCAAAUUUCUUAUAUUUUUCUUUAAAAAAAUGCCUUUUUAUUUAGAAAUUAUUCAUUUAUUAUAGCCCUACUACCCAAUCAUUCCACAAUAAGUGCAAAUGAACCUAGAAAGUAGGGUUUCACUCUUCGUUUUCAAGAUUGGAGCAAAUUAGGGUUUUCGCGAUUUUUCGCCGGAUGAUUUUUUGGUACGGAAUAAGGAUCAAAUUUGGUGAUUAAAAGUGACUUUUAGAUGAGAAAUAAUAUGUGAUUAGGAGCAAUGAUAAAAAGUUAGUGAUUGGGAAGAAAAAACCCUAGUACGUGUGAUUUGAGGAAAAACGAUGCGAACCGACGUGUACCACGCACUACCGAUUGAAUGCACCACUGGACCACCACUUUCUUACCACAUGAGCUCAUUAAUAUUUGAGCAAAAUAUCUCCUUAUUUCCAGCUGCCUUUGACCGAAAUUUGUGGCCAAAAAUGCAAGGGAGAGAGAGAAAAAUUUGCAUGGCUUUGGUGGUGCCAAGUGUCACCACCUCAUGGCUCCUUGAUUAAUUUUUUUUCUUGCCUUUUUAUCCUUCAUUUCAGCCAUCUUUCUUUUUCAUUUUUUCUGGUCUUGGCCGAGAGAGAGAGAGAGAGAGAAAAACCCCAAGAGAGAGUUCACCAUUUCUUCUUGAAAUCUAGUCACCAAGUGAGGAAGAAAGAAAACUAAACCGAUUAAAGUCAUCCUUGAGUGUUCAUCUAGUGAGGUGUUGGUGAAAUUUUGAAGGGGAAAGCAAGAGUUGCUCUUGGUAGACACUAAGCAAGGUAAGGAUGAUGAUUUCCCCAUUUCUUACUCUUAAUCUUGUUCAAAUUAGCUUAGCAUCUCAAAUUUGUGGUGAAUAAUGGUUGUUAUCAUAUCUUGGGUGUUGUUUUUCCUUGUGGAUACAUGAAUUAGGGUUUGAUGAAUUGCUGCCAAACUUGAUGUAUGAUUAAUAUAUGUUGUAUCCAAGAUUGUAUAGGGGGUUUUGGUAGCAAGUGAAGCAAGAAAUGAAGAAAGUUAUCAUUGGAAUAAAAAAUUCCAGAUUUCUAGAAAAAUUUCACCCUAUUCUGUCUGGUUCCAGUUUGUGUGGUUAGAGGCCGAACUAGGCUUAGAACAAAACAUAAAAGUUGUAGAGAAUGACAUUUUAUAGUUUUCUACAAAAUUUCAGCUCAAUCCGAGCAACGUAGCCUGUGAAAAAACCAAAAUACCCUCACUGCCCUAGGUUGUAUUCCAGUGUUCCGCGUAGACAGUUCAGUCUAUUUGGCUGUGUUUAUUCGCCAUAAUCCAUAUGAAUUUAGCCAUUUUCCAAAACAUGAAAGUUUUAGUACUCUGUCUUAGGUUUUCAACACCACCAAGAACACCUUAAACGAACCUUGGUAGACUGAGAUAUGGCCAUUUGAAUACAGUAUGGUUAAAUAGCAGAUUAGUUGGAAUUAGGUUAUGUGAAUUGGGAAUUUUAUUAGGUUACACUAGAAAUUGGACUAAGUGAUCUUCAUGAACAUUGGAGCCCUGUGUCUUAGCUUCGAAAGCGUAUAAGUUGCACCUCAAUCCGAUAAACGUAGCCUCGGAUGUGCCCAUUCCGUAAAAACCCGUCGAAACUGUCUUUUGUAAACUUCAUUUCCGCACUUGAUAUUAGCUUAAUUUUUGUUCUUGUAUUGUCUUGAGCAUAUGAAAUGGCUAUUGAAAUGAAAUUUUGUUAUGGAUAACCUUGGGUUUGAUUGGGUAAAAGGAUGAAGCCAUAAAUGGCUGAAAAAUUGGAAAAUACAAAGGGCAUGCUGCCCAAAUUUUCGCUCGAGGACUAAGUUUCUAUUUGAACUGGUAUACUUACGUUUGGUCUAUGAAACCCUAGUUAUUGUUGUCCACGGGUCCAAAUGUCCUCGUUUCACUUUAAAGUCUUUUUGUACGUUCUACUCAAUAAUUGUCGAGUUUCUUUGAUUGCACCUAAUUGUUGUGCUAGAUGAUCUGUAAUAUUCUUUUUCGUUUAAUUUAGGUUUUCUCGGUGACUGAGGAUAAUAUCCGGAAGAAUAUUUUACCCGUUGUUUUACGUACAUAGGUGAGUGUUUCUUGUUUGUUAUAUUCUCCAUGACUUCAUGACUCGUUGUUGUUGUUUGAUGAUGUGUUAAGUGUUUUCAAUGAUUUCCAAAACGAAUUUUCUAGGCGAGCGUGUACUUUAUCGUGCUCGACCUAAAUGAAAUGUGAAGUUUUCAAUGAUUUAACGAUUGAAACAUUAGUUGCGAAUGAUGUAAGCCUUUUGGCUACAUUGGGCCCUGCCCUUCGUUACCGAUCGACUCGAGUCAGAAGCGGAUUCGGUCGGGCGAUAUGGUGACCCUGGGUAAAUUUGGUAUACUCGAGUAUUAUCUUGUAGUUCGGCCACGUCCGGAUGGGUGGAGUCCGGCCAACGUCCGGAUGGGUGGAGUCCGGUCAACGUCCGGAAAGGGAUGAAUGAACGAACGCAAGCACGAGGGUUUUACUUCUCAAAAAGGAAAUUUUCAAAUAAUUGGAGAAAUAAGGGGAAAUGUCAGGGGAACGAUCGAACGAACGAAUAGCUCCAUGUGAGCCCGUAUCCUUUUAAUGAAUGUGUUACUAUCGCUUUCCAUUGUAAAAAAAAAAUUCUUGAAUUAUUGAUACUCCAUGUUUAAUAUAUUAAAUUGACUAUCUGACUAUGUGUUCGGAACCUCACUGAGCUUUUAGCUCACCCCUUUAGUUUUGUUUUCCUUAAUAGGGGACGGCGAGUAGGAUGAUAGCAUAGACUAGCCUAGUCUCGUUUUUUUGUUUUUUUUUGUAAUGGUUCUCGCCCUAGUGCUUGGCAUGGGUUGGACGUAUGAAAGAUUGAUAACCUUUGUAUAUUCGAUCUUUAUACUCCCUUUUUGGAUGGCAAUGUAUAUAAGUUUUGCUUUAAAUUUGGAUCGCUGCCCUAUUUAUUCUUGUGAUUUAUUCCGAUUUUAAUUGAGAACUGUAGUGAACAACUGAGUCCCGGUAACAGUUAGGCAGGCGACCCGCCGAACCCUGAGGUGCGCCCUAGGGAGAGGUGGGGCUGUCACAAAAAGAAAGAGAGCUUCAACUUUCAUCUUCCAUUUCUUGCUUAGAUCUUCCAAACCAACCGAUUAAAUCUUGAAUUUGUCCACGAAGGUGACUUGCUAAGGGUGUUUCAAGGUUUUGGUGGAGUUAUUUUGGAGAAGGAACCACUAAACCACUACCUUUCUUGAGGGGUUAAGGUAUUUUGCUUGGAAACUUACUUUUGUUCCUAAUAAUGGUCAAUUAGUAGUUUAUAGUGGCUACAUAUGUUAUUUUAUGGAAGAUUUUGUGGUUUGAGAUAUAAUUAGUUAAAUUUCAGAUUUUAUUGGGGAUUUUUCUGAUUUUAUACGAUCAUUAGUGAUUGGCCAUGAAUAAUGGUUUGAUAUGGUGUAAAAUGAGGCUUUUAUAUGUUAGCUGUAGUUGGUUGCGAAAAAUUUUAGUUUUAUGCGGAAAUUCCAGGUUUAGGGUUUCAAAUUUGCCCUGCUCUAACCGGAUUUAUUUGGGCAUGUUAGAGACCGAAUCAGCCCUUGCCCAAACAUGAAAGUUGUUGGUAAUUGAGUUAUCUAGCUACCUGUAAAAUUUCAACCCAAUCCGAGCACUGUAGCAUGUCAAAUGAUCGAAAUAUCCUUGACUGCCCAUAAGCCGUGUUUCGCAGAUAGUUUUCUGUGUUCAUGAAGAUUUCAAUUUUUUACUCUAAAAAUGCAUGAUUUAGCUUUAGAGCCCUUCAUAAGAAAUGUAGGUAUAUGUCUUGGCUUCGAAACGCCAUAAGAUACACCUCAAUCAGACUUCGGUAGCUUGAGUUAUUGUCGUUUAAUCAUAGUGCAGUUACCUAGUCUGAUUGUGAGAUGCUGGUUCCAUAAUUUGAAAUUUUGACCUGGAUACACUACAAAUUGGACUGAAUGGUUUUCCAUCAAAUUGUAGACCUGUAUCUUAGCUUCGAAAUGGUAUAAAGUUCACCCCAAUCUGAUAAGCGUAGUUUUGGUUGUGUUUGUUCCGCUAAAUGACGCCAAACCUGUCUUUUGUUUUCUGACUUAAAUUUCAUUUCUGGACAUUUUCCUAGCUUAAAUUUGUACUUGUACGAUUUUGAGCCUAUUGAACGGCUAUUGAAAUGAGAUUAUUUUGUGUGUGACAUUGUGUGACGCCCCGAACGAAUGAGUGUGAGAAACCGAAAAUUUUUAUAUAUUUUCUAGACAUUAUUUUGUUUCCUUGUUUAUAAUUUUAUGCCUUUCUUCAAUAUAUUAAUUUUCUAUACAUUUUUAUAAAGGAAUAUAGUUUUCAAAUUAUUUUUUUGAUACAAGUUAGUCCACGUUAAGUUUGAAGUGUAUUAUGGACGUGGGACCCGCUAAUGUGGUAAAUGCGAUAUAUUUUUGACAACUUGUUGGAGUUUCGUAUUAAGUGAUGUUAUUUCACAAGGUGCUAAGAGAUAAUUAGAAGUUGGUUACUUAGAUGGUUAAUCUUGGAGAGACAAAGGGAUAAAAAUAAACUUAAGAAGGGCCAAGUAUCGCGAUCCGAUUGGAAGUUGACUUGCCUAACUUUUAUUUAACUUUCCUAAACUCCAAUUUUGACCAACAUUUUCUCAUUUCUUUACCCUUCUUGGCUGAGACAUGUAGAGAGAAAAGAGAGGAAAAACCUUCAUCUUGUUACUUCAAUUCUUGUCCAAAUCUUGAGUUCCAACCAAUUAAAUUGCAAACCAUUCCAUAAAACUUGCUAGCUAGGGAAGGUUAAAGGUGUUGGCGGAAUUGUUUUGGAGGAGGAAAGAUUAAGCUCCUACCUUUCUUGUGGUUUUAAGGUAUUUUGCCAAGAACAUCCUAUUUACUUCAAUUCAUUGCUUAUUAGUGGUUUUUAGUUGUUUUAGAUGUUGUUUUGUGGAAGAUUUGGUGAUUUCUAUGGUGGUUUGAGAAAAUUCCAGAUUUUAGGAAAUCUUGUUUUCAGUUCUGCCCAUUUCUGUUUGCCUAUGUUAGAGGCCGAAUUAGGCUUAACAUGAAAGUUGUAGAGAAUGAUAUUUUAUAGUUGCCUGAAAAAUUUCAGCUCAAUCGGAGCAACGUAACCUGUGAAAAUACCAAAAUACCCCUACUGCCCUGUUUCUGUCCGAAACUGAUAAUCAACUUAUGUAAUUGGUUAGUUUGACUAGGAAUAUUACUGAAUUGGUUGUUGAUGUCUUCUUAAGAAUUAUAGCCUUGUAUCUUAGCUUUCAAAUGGCUUUGGAAUUACCUGAAUUGGAGAUAUGAGUGAAUGAAUCAGGACUGCUAGUUGAAUUUCACAGUGAGCUUCGAACUGGAAAAAUCUGGAGUUGUUUUGGUAAAUUUGACCUAGUUAGGGUGAGAACUGGACUGAGUGGUUUUCAUGAAAGUUGUAGGUCUUUGUCUUAGAUUCGAAAUGGUAUAAAUUGCAUUCCAAUCCGAUAAGGUAGCUUCACUUAUGGAUAUUUUACCGAAAGGUGUUAAACGGAACUUUUAUACGUUAACUGCGAUCGUUGCGGAAAAGUUACGCUUGAGGGAAUAAAUUCCGGUUUCUAGGGUUUAAUUGGGGGUUUUUCUAAUGGUGGUUCUUAAGCUUCUAAUUAGCUUUGAUUGAGGGAUAUUGUGGCCUAAUUGGAUAUAUUUUAUUGCUUAUUAACCGUAUGUGUGAUUGGUAAUAUAUUGUAGGUUGGAAAUGAAGUAUUUAUGGAAAAAUGCUGUCCGAACCUUGAGAAUGUAUGAUUGCUUUGAGUUUAUAAUUUAGGACUUGGACUCGGGCAAGGUAAUGAUAUAUGAUGGAUGGUUUCUCAGCCGUGGAGGUGAGUGACCCUAAACUGUUUCCAAAGUUACUUACGAAGUGUUUCUUGCAUUAUUUACUCGUUUGUAUAUCAUGUGUGCUGGCAUGUGAGUCCAUGAAAUGAUUUAGUUUAAAUGAGUUCCUGGGGAGUCUUGUGCUGAACACCAACAUCUCUCUACUAUUUACCUGGAGCCAACGUCUCCACUACUUCAAUGAGUUCAUGACAUUAUCUGGAGCACCAACGUUGCUCCCUCUUACUGUUAAACGUUAAAGGAUCUAUUUGAGCGUUGGGUGUUUAAGUGCAAUGAUUUCACUGGCUCAUGAGAGCAAUAAACGGAUAUUUGAUUACUGAAUCAUGACAUCAUCGAAAUGCAUUAUUGGGAAAUAUAUUUGAGUACUGAUUUUACUGGUUACUCACUGAGGUUUUAGCUCACCCCAAAACUAUUUUAUUCCCCUCCAUAGGGCUCUUGGCGAAGGAAGGCUUGUAGUACUUAUUCACGUGACUGGAUGGCAUAUAUCUUAUACAGUUUGGAUUUGGAAUCAUUUUAUGUAUAGUUGGGAAUUGUUUCAACUUCGCUUAUGACAUGUAAUUAUUGGAGAAUUUGAUGCAUAUAUGAGAUUUAUCUUGUAAUUUAUUUGAGGAAUGAAGUGAUCGAUCGAGUCCCGGCGAGAGUUGGGCAGGCGGCCCGUCGAACCCUCUGGGUCGCCUUAGAGAGAAGUGGGGCUGUCACACAUUGGAACUGAUUUGAGGAAGAAAUGAAGCCAUAAUGGAUGGAAAAGUAAGGAAAUGUAGGGGACAUGCUGUCCAAAUUUUGGGAAUGUGGGAUUUCUUCGAGUUUGGUUGAUUUGGGAUAUAUAUAAGAAAGGUUUUGGAGUUGUUUGAGCCCUAAGUUUUCAUGUUACCUUUUCGUUCCCAAAAAUCAUGUUUUGCACCCUUGCAUUAGUAAUUAUUUGGCGAGGCAGACGACUAGUAGUCGGGCCUCAUUUGUAUAUUUCGUUUACUCGAUUUUGGAUAUGGAACCUUCAAUUGUUUUAUUUCGGUUAUUUUAGGAUUUCUUGGAGAUUAAAGCCACUUUGGCGUAAAAACUUUUGAAGUAUCUUUACGUUAACCGGUGAAUGUACUACUUCCCUCAUUUGUUGUUUAAUUUGGUUUCUGUACAUGCAAUCUGGGAUAUGAAUGACUGUACUAUCUGUUCAUUCUAUUUGAAACGAGGGUGUACUUUAUCACACUCGUUCUCUUAUCUGUCUGUAUGCUUAUGUACUGUGUGAAUUUGGAUCUGUUAUCUGUAUCUGUAUCUGAUCUGAUGUCGUUUGGAGGUUUGUAUCCAAUGACUUUUCUGUGACCUCUGAGCUUAAAACCUGUGGCUAGUUACUCGAGUCGAGCCGGUAACGAACCACAGUAGUCUGUUUUAGAAUCUUUGGGUAUUGAGACCCUUAAUUUCGGUAUACUUGAAUAUUAUCACUUCUGUUUCUGUUAAGGCGUUCGGGCCCGGUAAGGGGAAUUUGGCUCCCGAGAAUCUAGAUCAAGUAUGACAAUGGGAAUUUGGCUCCCGAGAGCCACCUGUAUCCUUUAUCUUGUGGUGUUCAUUUAUUUCUCGUAUUUGAUGUGAAUAAGUGCCUUAAAAGUGAUUUCUCAUCAUUUUUACUAUUUAUAAUUUUGGUACCUCAUUGAGCUUCUAGCUCACCCCGUCCCGUUAUCCUUGUUUUCCUUACAGGGAAUCAUCUUUUGGACCAAUGAUCAUUUUGGAGAAUGAAUUGAGCUUGUACAAAUACCCUUUUUGUAUAGCUCCUUGGAAGUUGGAAACCCUAAAUGUAUCUUAAUACAAUGUUUCCUUUUGGUUUGUAAACUUACUACUAUGUAUAUUUUGAAGUGUUUCCUCAUGUUUAUGUGACAUAUAUUUGGGAAUGUACAUGCUCUCAUGUCAAACAAAGUUUAGUUGUACUUGGUUGGAUUGUGAAGUGGCAGCGACACUUCCAUUUCGUUUUGAUUUUUGCAGGAACGUUGUACCAAAGAUUGAUUGUAUCUUUUAAUUUGGCUCAUUUGGAUUCUGAAUGUUUAUCUUCUCAAAGUUCUUUUGAACGUUUGGUAGGAGUUACGUUUGAUCCGGAUCCGUAGUCCCGACGAGAGUUAGGCAAGCGAUCCGCUAACCCCUUUGGUUCACCUUAGGGGGAGGUGGGGCUGUCACAACUUGGAUCCUCAAGAAAGACAGCUGACACUAGUAUACGUAAAGUUGUUGAUGCAUGGGCUACUUCAAACUUCAAUCAUAGUAGUUUAUUCAUGUUUUUAGGUUUUCAGUUAUGUUUAAGUAAACAUUUUAAGGCCACCAAAGAAUACAAAAAUUUUUUAAAGGCUAUCUUAAUCAGAUAUGAUAAUUUCAUAAACCACUCUUAUGGUUUUUGGUAAUAUCAUUUUGCACCCAUGAACUUUUCAAAAAAAUCACUUACCUCCUUUGUCACCUAAAGUUAGUAUCACAAGACACCAAUUGACAAUUAUAUGGGGAAUAUUUUCUUAGCCAAAAAAGUUUGGUAUGUUUGUUUUGUUGAUCUUUUUUUUUUUUGGUAAAACCGUAUCUUUAAAGAAAGUGGAAUAAAAUCUUUAGCACCAAUUUGGGAGCAUGUAUAUUUGAUACUAUAAUUUUAUGACAUGAAUCUACCUACCACAUUAGUUUAGGCUAUUCAUUUUAAUUAUUUUAUUUUCUUGACAUUACUAGAAGAAGUAUGCAUUUUUCAUAUCAAACAUAAGACUUUUUAUUAUGUUUUGGCUUAAAGAAAAUUUUGAUUGUAACCAUGCAAUUAGAGCCACAAUUUCAUUUGAAUGUUGCAAGAUAUUGGUGAAUUGUAUGACCUUUCUUUUAAACUUAAUUAGGACAUACUUGUGCUUUCCAAUUCUUAAUUUUGUUUCCAAAAUUUUCUCAUUAAUGUUUCAAUUAUUUUUGACUCCCAACUCUUGUUAAUUAUAUAUAAUCCCAACACCAUGAGUAUUUGUUUCUAUUGCAACAGUAACGUGGUUGAUAGUUGUUACUGCUAAAUUUGGUUGCAUUACAAUAGCAACUCAUACACAAUUUGUUUUUAGUUUUAAAAAAUUUUAUUCAUCCUAAUAUGACUUUUGGUACUGAAUUAGGAUGUAAAAUAACAAAAAGGGCAAUGUUGAAAGGAAAAUAUGUUCUCUCCACUUACUAAAUUUGUAACCUUGCUUUUUCUUCUAGGGGCUGAACAUGAUACAAAAAACUUCAAUUCGGAGAUGUAAUAUGAGAUUUUUAAAAGUUUAAAAACACUAAUAGCUUGUUUGAUAACUUUACUUAAUGCUGAAAUUUGAUUCAUUCAAAACUUUUGAAUUCAACAUGUUUGAUAAUAGAAAUGCCUUUACCACUUAAUAUAUUAACUAUUGCUUAAUUUGUGUAUAAACUCUUAAGUGAAAAUUUUUCACUGGAUUUUCUGAAUUGACUACAAUGCUAUAACUCUUAUACAUAUAACAUACUAUCAUACAUGCUUUCGUAAAUUUUGGUCUUAUCGAAUGAGCCCCAAGUAGAAUUGACAAAAUCUUUGGGAGAGGUUUCUUAUACUUAAUCAGAAUUCCUAUUACCCAUAUAAUCGAACUUCUUCUUGAAAAGGCAAUUAAAAAGUACAAAAAAAAAGAGACAAAAUAAUUAUUGUCGAGUGAUUAAACUUCAAGAGCAUGAUGGUCGAAUUAAUUAAUUAACACUAAGCAUGAUAAAAUUAACAAGAAACACCUUCCAAAUAUGAAUUAACUACAAAUUGAGAUGCAAUAAAUUUAUUUGCUCUAAUAACCAGUAGUAUACACAAUUUCAAGGCUAAUAUAGCAAGGGUGUCGAUCUAUCCUUAGUCAUUAACUAAGAAAAGCUAAAUCAAUGAAACAAAGACAUGCUAAAGUCCACGAUUAUGGACAGAAUGAGAAGUUAUACCACCAUAGGCAGCCCCAGUAUUAGCUAAAAUGCACAUUAACACAAAUUCUCUAGUAUCAAAAGGGCCAGGAUUUAAAGAAAACUCCAACCCAAAAGUGCGCAAAUAAACCCUUCUUUUAGGCAUGAAUUUAGCCAUAGCAUAUCCCAUAGGGUACAAAAUGGCUACAAAUGUUACCAUGGACAUGAUGCAUUGAGCAGUCUGAUAUAGAAAAAACUUGUUCAGAACAAAUGAAAAUAAGAAUGAUAAUGAUCCCAGAUAAACUGCUCGAAAGGUCCACACGGGCUGCUCUUCAUCAUUGUAAUGACCAUGGUUUCCUUCAACAUGAGUUUCCUCAUCAUCAUCAUAAAUGUCCUCUUCUUCUAGUUCUUCCUCUGUUUCUCUAGUUGUUUCACUUGUAUGGAUAAAUGUGGUGUCCCCAUCAUAAUCAUCGCCUCCAAAUGUAGUAUUUAUACGAAGUUUCAUGAUUAUGAAGAAAUUUAUGGGUUUGCUUGGUUGCGUUAUUAAUAUUAGAGGUUGAUUCUAUCUUUGUUUAAUUAGGGGAAUGUAGCUAAGCUUAAGGAUCACGAUACGAGGAAUAUGGUGCAUUAUCAAUACGUGCGUGCUUCUCGCUGAAAGUCUGACAUAUUCUAUGGGGUGAACCAUAUUAGUGCCCCUAUAUUUAUGGGGAAAAUUUUAGAAACCUUCCUUGAGGUUUCUAAUAAUUUCACUAACCUCUUCUAAAGUUUGCAAAAUUACAAAAACAUCCCCUAAGAUUAAGCUUUUGAUAACAAAAUUAGUACAAUUAGAAAAAAUAACAUUCAAAAAGUACUUUAAGAAGAGAGAUGAAACUUUUAUUCCAUAAAUACUACAUAUGCAUGUAUAAAAGUUGUAUUAGUAAAAUAAUGAAAAUAAUUAAAAGUUAGAAACAAUUAAUACACAUAUUUCACUAUUCAAAAAGUUCAUAUUUAAUAAAUUAGACAACACAAAUAAGCAAUAAAACUAUACUAGUGAUCACAACAUUCAGCAAAACACACUAAUCAUCUGUUUUGACAUGAUGUUUGCUAUGAUCCUUGUGAUCUUCAAUAGAAAAAAUUUUCAAAUUUUGUCUUUGUUUUCUUUCAUUUCUCCUUUACUAAUAUCUAAUGAUUAAAUAAUUAGAGUACUAAUUAACUAUUAGCAAUUGAUUAACUAAAAUAACUGUUGGAAUUUUCUUUAAUGAUGAAUGAUGAUUAGUGAUUACAAAAUAACAUCAAUUGAUAUACCUAAUGACGCUAUUUUGUGACUGAUAGAAUUUGACAAUGACUAGAAAUCACUUAUACACAAUGUGAGAAGAAAAGUUUUGGUAGAAGAGAAAAAUACAUAGCAAAAGAAGGUUGUUUAUAAGUAUAUUUUUUUUCAAAACUCUUAAAGUUAUGACAAUUGUAAAGUAAUUUCGUGGAAGUAAUAGAGAAAGAAGGGAAAAGAAAAGCAAAAUUCGAAAUUUUUUUUGUUCAAAAUUACAAGAAUCAUAGCAAAUAUCAUGUCAAAAGAAACAACUAGUUUUCUUUUUUUUUUGUAUGCUUCAUACUUUUAUUGAUAAGUUGUUGAGUUUACAUAAAGAUUGGAGGCUCCCUAUACCAAUUUACAUCACAGAUUGAACAGUAAUCUAACUCUAUUACUAAACUAUAUUAUAUACAAAAGAAUGCAGAUUAAAUGACUCGCCUGUUUUACAGAAUCUUGUGAUUAUUAGUGUAGUUUUGUUACUUAUUUGUAUUGUUUAAUUUAUUAAAUGUGAACUUUUUGCAUGGUAAAAUGUGUGCCACUACUACCACAAGAAUCCCGGCGAGACACACCCUUGGAACAUGGAGAGCCAUACAACUCAAGAGAGUUAAUUUUCAAUAAUAUCGAUAAUAGUCAAAUUACAAAAGCUCUAAAUAUUCCUAUUUAUAUAGGCUACAAUAAGUUAAACUUAAAUAGAAAAUAAAAACACAUUUAAACCCUAAUUGAAUAAAAACGAGUGCCACUACUACCACAAGAAUCCACAGUCGAAACCAGGAUUGGAUCAGAUGUGAGGAUUGGACAGCUACUCUUUGCCAGCAAUCUGGCGCUAGAAUCCAAUGCAAGCUUGCAUGGAUCGAACACCAAAUAGUCAAUAGUUUCCUAUACCAAGUCUUUCUUUCAAUUGGUUCUUCAUGCAAUCCCUUAUUGACUCAAUUACAAAUACUAACAUUGCUAAUUUAAAUAAAUAAAAAUACUAAUAAAACUAACAAAAGCUACCCUAUAUUGUAACUCUAAAUCAGUUUGCGGACAAAUCCAUUAAUAUGAAUGACGAAGCCUUGAGCCCAAGGUACCUUGUUCCAUGUCAACACUACUUGGGCUUCUGUAUGUGUGCGCGCAAAUAUGAAAUAUGUACCUAUUUAUUUAAGGAUUUAUUAAUCAAACAUAAUAAAAUAUAAAGAAGAACAUGGUUGAGAAUAAACUUUUGUGGUUAUGUAUGUGUGCGCGAAGCACAAUAAAGUACUUAUAAAUUUCACAUGGAAAAGAUAAAGCAUUUACUUUGGGUAUGGUGCUUUUGCAAUUUUACUUUAUUUGUUUAUGAUUUAUGAUGGUGAAAUUUUGGUAUUUUUUUAAAUUUAAUGUGUAUUUUUGUAAUCUAUGAUGAAUCUAUGAUGGCGAAAUUUAGUAUUUUUUAAAGUAACUUUGUUUGUUUGUAAGUUGUGAUGUGGUCCCUUUGCCUUUAAAUUAUACUAUGUCAUAGUUUUCAUGUUCAUGAAAAGUCGGACAUAGUUGGGGCCGAGGUUCUAUAUUUUUAAACAAAAGAAUUUUUGUAUUUUUUUUGGAAAUAAAAAAACCAGGCCAAUAUAUGGACUAUUUCACUUUGAGGUUACAUUAUGGUGGUGUUUAUGUUAAAGAUCCAUAAGAGACAUACGUAGGGGUAGCGUAGAAACAUUUGAAAGAGUUAUUCCAAUAAGAGUUAGCAAAUCAAUUUUACAUGACUUCUGUACUCUUGUGGGCUAUCCAAAUGAUUCAAGAUGAUAUAUAGAAUGCCCUGUGAAAAUAAUGUGCUCAAACUAUGGCAAAUAGAUGGUAAGGAUGCUACAAUUUAUGUGGCUUGGCAAAAACAAAUAGAGAAGUUGAUGUAUAUAUUGUCCACGAAUUCCAUAUAAGAGAUGUUAAUAACAAUACUAGGAGUUCAAGUGUAGCAAAUGCUGAGGAGAUUCAAUUAGAAAAAGAUAGUGUGUAUGUGGAUGUAACCUUUGACGAUGUUGAUUUAGCUAACGUCGAAGACAUGCCAAUUUAUGUGGACAAAAAAUGGAGCAUAUGAAGGCAAAAAAUGGAAAAAUAGAAGCUGUUGAUCUUGGAGGAAAUGAUGAUGAUGAAGCGAAUGGUGCUGCCCUUUUGAAAUCAUCCCAAGGUUAAAGCUUCCAUGAUGCGAUUACGAAUUUAGCCAUGAUGAUGAAGAUGUGAUAUCCCAUAGCUGUGUUGUUGCUCCUAAGCAAGAGUUAGGUGGUUGAAUUGGAAAGAUUCAACUUGAUAGUGGAAGGAAGAGCUAGGGCAAGGAACCUAAAAAAUAGAAAAUUCCAACACUUGCAACUAAGAAUAAAAAAGCUAGAGCCGAGCCUGCUAGUUUGAGAAACUUGCAUCUGGAUGAAGGAGAUUAUAUUCCAAUCCAUAAAGAAUCUGAUUCACUUGUCUCGAAUGAGUUGAACAGCGGACACUCUUCCUCAGAUGAAGAUAGUAGAAGAAGCCUAAGAUGCUUAGUCUUGAGAGAUUCAGGCCUAGCCUGAAGUUGAAAUGGAAGAUCCAAAAUUUCAUGUUGGUUAAAUCUUUGAUGAUAAACAGUUGUUCAAGUUAGCAGUAGACAAUACGCAGUCAAAUGGGGCAAGGAUAUUUAGUGGGUAAACAAGAUGCUACACGGAUAAGAGUUAAAUACAAGGCUGAAAAUUGUGAAUGGAUGUUGUUUGCCUCUAAGGUUGAAUCAGGUAAUGAACCCCUUGUGAUGAAGACUAUGGAACUUGAGCACACUUGUUGUUGGACAUUUUACAAUGAGAGAGCUAUCUUAGGUUUUCUGGCUAGAAAGUAUGUAGAUUUUUUAAGGUCAAAUAAGAAGAGUGAUUGUUAAAGAAUUUAGGGAGAAGGUCCAUUCGGAACUGAAUGUACACAUCACCAUACCACAGGUGUACAAGACAUCCAUGAAAGUAAAGAUCUUAACCCACGCAAGUUAUAAAGAACAAUACAAAAGGCUAUGGGAAUAUUGUGAUGAGCUGCUAAAAUGUAAUUCGAGUUCCACAGUAUAUAUGUAGUGUAGACACCAAAUUUUUGGUGUUUUAUUAUUUAUUUAUUUACUGUUCGUUUUUUAUUUGUUCUAUUUUUAUUUGUCACAAUUAGUUUUAUUUACUUUUAGUUUUAGUUAUUUUAGCCAUUUUAGCGUAGAAUUUCUCAAGGAAAAAAGAAAAGCGUUCAAAAAAUAUGUUUUAGUUGUUUUAGAUUUAGUUUCAUUAUUUAAAAAUGAAAAUGAAAAAAUGAAAAUUGAAAAAUGAAAAAAAGGAAAAAGGAAAAAAGGUGAAAAUGACAAGUGGGACUGCAUGCACUUGGACAAGUGUCUUUUCUAUAUUUUAGACAACUAAGCACCUAAGGGGUGAGGUGUUAGGGACAUUUGGGAAGUUAAGGAAUUUUUGGGGGUCAAAGUAGAAUUUUGUGAGGGCUAAAAAUUAAAAAAACAAGGGGGAAACGGAAGAAAAAACGAGAGGGAUAGAGAGAAAGGGGCGGCUGGGUAUGGAGGAAGGUUUUUAGGUUGGUUUUGAGGGCUGAUGGAGAGAGGCUAUGGAUGAGGGGGAAGGGGGCCGAAAAGAAAGAAAAACAAGAAGAAAGAAGCCGCGGAUGGGAUAGAAAAAAAAACAAAGCAAGGAAGAAAAAGGGAGAAUCAGUAGGAGGGCCGUGAGCUGAGGAAGGAAGCUGAAAAACGCGGCCAAGCUGCAAGAAAAAGGAGGGAGAAAAAACACAGAGGGAGAAGGGAGCUCUGAGGUCGGACGGAAAAAGAACUGAAAAAGAAAAGAGUGACGGGGGAAGCUGGGAUUGAAAAAAAAAAAAAGAGAAAAAAGAACCGAGGACAACCAGAAAUCUGAAAGAUCAGAGGAGAAAGGGCUUCGACGAAUUGGGAAGAAAGGAAAAAGGAAAACAGGGAGGCUGCGUUUGAGAGCUGAAAAAGAGCAGGAAAGAUCAGAGAGGAAAGGAAAGAGACAGCGGCUGAAGAUUAUUCUUCGACGACUUGCAUUCGCCGUGGUCGACCGCUUCCUCAUCGCCGGCGCCAAGAAGCAGCGGUGCAUAUCUUCUGCCUCCCCUGUUCAUUUUUUCCACUCACCAUCAUAGCCACCGCUGCCGCUCGAGCAAGCAAAAGCAUGUAAGUUGUCUUUUUCUUUUAAAAUUUCAGUUCUGUUCAAACUUUCGAAACAGGCGGCCAUGAUCAUGUUGGUUGCGACCUCUCAAUUAUUUGUUCAUGAUUCUUGAAUAUACAUGCUGUAUAUGUUGAUUGGACUGUUCUCUGUGUCUCUGACAAAUUUUGUGGGCCGAUUCUAGCUUCAAUAGAGUAAAGAAUUGAUAAAAUUUUUAAUACCCUUAACAUGUUUGAUGAAAUGCUUGAGUGAAAAUUCUAUUUGAUGGUUGAAUCGUCUGCAUCUUGCGUGUGAAAAAGUGAUGAACAGAAAACAAGAGCAGUAUUUGUUAGAACGUAAUAGUUGAUUUUCAUGGCAGAAAUGGGAGUUUCGAUCUUGAUAUACUUGUGUACGGCACCUUCUCCGUUUUUUCUUUUUCUUGAUUCUUCCUUUGGUAUGAAUUCAGUUAUGUCGUGAGUUUGUGUGUAAGGAAGUUUAGGUGAGCUUCAUUUUAUUUUGGAGGGAGCCAGGGGAAUUGAAGUGGAACUUUCUGAUAUUUUUAUGCUGUGUAGAAAGGAUAAAUGGCCACUGAUGUUCUUUGGAAUUUUUGAUGUUUAAUAUUCAUGAUUGGAUUUUGUUAAUCCAGAGGGGUCUGAAUUUGUUAGAGGGUUUUGUUUGCUUGGAAUCUGUUCCAUGUAGUUCCUGGGAUGAGUUACAAAAUGAAAGAAUGCAGAAGAAUGCUUGUUUCGAUGCUUGGCAUGCAUAUUGCCAUCUUAUUUUUUUUCCUUUGUUGUUGUGCUUAUUGUUGUGCAAACACGUAAAUAGCCAUGAGUUGCUGUAACCAUAUUAACCUCGCCCCUGUGCAAAUUUUGUUGUUAAGGCAAGGUCGAUACAAGCUCCUUCAUUAUGUCUCUUUGCUACGUCUUCUUUUGUUUUUUAAAUUUGUCGGGAUGUACUUUGAGGUAAUGAAAUCUGGUCUGUUUAAUGGAUUGCUCAAGCAGCUCAAAGCUGUUUCUUUUAAUUCCCUUUGUGCGUAAUCUAGGCUGCUCAAAUCAUUGGGAAUGCGGAGUAUAGUAUUGGAUCUUAAUGAUAGAAUGCAUAGUUGAUUUGUUUUGAGUGAAAGAAUGCUGUUUGUUUGGUCUUCAUUGCUUACGUUUGGCAUGACACUAGAAGAAUGAAGUUGUAGGAUAAAUGAAGAAGAAAGCAGGCUUUUCAGAUGCUUUGCCUGGGAAGUUCUGAAAAUCGAAGUUUAAAUGAUUUAAUCAUCUGAUAUGGCCCAAAAUAUGGAAAAGCUGAAUUUGUUUCAUCCCUUAGAUUUAAUCAUCUUUUAAUUGUUUCAAAUAUGUCUUUUGGGUGGAUUAAUUCUAGAUUUUAGGCCAUGUUUGUGGUUUAAUGAGUUUGUUGAUUUAAUUAUGUUGGUUUUAGUGAAGUAAAUGAUUUGGGUUAAGAGAUUAUUUUUGUUUGGGUUUCGGGAAUGGGUCAUUUAUUUGUUUUGAUUGAAUUCUGAUUUGGGUUUAGGAGAUAAAAGCCCACUCUUUUGAUUGGGCUGGUUUGUUUGAUGAAAAUUGGGCUAAUUCGUCUGUUUUGCUUGGAUUUCUGUUGGGCCAAGUGAGUCUGGCCCAAACAAAUAAAAAUGGCCCAUUCUUUUUUGUUUUGAACUUCAGAUUGGGCCAAGUGGUUUUGGCCCAAGAAAUAAUUAAAAUGGCCCAACAGUUUGUUUGAUUAAAAAUCUGAUAAUUGGAUUUGCGAAUCAUUCCCUGAAUUUCUCUUUAAUUGUACUAUGGCCUUGGAUAUUUUCAACCUCUUUCAAUUGGGUCCUUACUUUAAUUGCAAAUAGGUCCUUGAACUUUAUUUUUUCUUUAAAUUUGGCCCCAAAAUUUUAUCAAUCUUUGCAAUCAAGUCCUUUCUUCUUUUGACUUCUUAAAUGUGGGUUGUUGACAUGAUUUAAUUGAUUCAAAUUCAUGUUUAUUUUUAUCCUUUGUGAUUAUUUACCAAAUAAAUUGGUACCUUGACCAUUUCUUUUAUUUUGGAGGAUAAAUAAGUUGAUUUCACUCCAUUAGAGCUUCAUUUCAAGGGAGGUAUAAUUUCUUUUAUCUUUUGUGUCUCUUCUAUGUGAACCAACGUGCUCUGCGAGAAAUACAUGUCUACUUUGCUUUCUUAGCCUUUCCUUAAUUUCUUUUAUUUAUGUCAUUUACUUUUGCUUUUUAUUUAAGUUAUUCUUUAUGGGGUAUGUGUACACCUCUUGGCUUGUAAUAGAUAAGGUUUGGAGGAGCAUUCGAUGAAGAGCUGUUGAAGACUUGUGCCUAGCUAGCAAAUGUAAUAGUUAGGGCCUUAAUCACCUUAUGUGUCUUGCAUGUCUAUGUGCUAUAUGUUUAAUCGUUUUCUUAGGUUUUGGCAUUUAGAUAUGCAUGCUAAGUGUUAUGUGCUAUGUGUUUAUAAGUGAUUGACAUGUCUACUCGCUUUCCAUAGCCAUGAAUGAAUGUGAUGGAUGAAUGUACGUUUCCACUAGUCCAACGCUAGUCGGAAUUCAUAGAAUGGGCUAGUCCAACGCUAGACCCUUAGGGAUUUCCCCUCGUUAGUACAUGUUUGCAUGUUCAUUACAUGUCAUGCAUUCUUUUUAGUUUUAUCAUUUUGCAUGCCCCUCGAACCCCUUUUCCCUCCAUUUUAGGAUUUUUUGCAUUUCAUGCUAGUUAUAGAGUUCAUUUGCUUGAGAGUCCCCUUAAAUAUGGGAUAUAGACGAGUGUGGCUUUUUCUAAGCCUUAGCACGCUUGUAUUCCCUCUAUAAAAGGGCAAAUUGAGUCACGAUUUAGGUCUCCCCGUACCCAAUAUACAUAAAUUCCCUAGGCUCAUGCAUUUUCAAAUCCACUCUACCAUUUUAUACCCUCGUCACACUUUCAUUUUUCCUCCCAUUUUACACACGUGCACCUUUACGUUUCUUCACUUGCACACGAACACUUUUAUCAUCACUUCCACACAUGCAUUUCAUAUUAUCAUUUCACAUACCGUACCUUGCCUACUCACGUGCACAUUUUCAUUUACAUAUUUAUUGUCUUUUAUUACUUUUUCAAACUCAUGUCCUCACAUUGCAUACAUGCAUUCCAUUCAUUUGCAUCCCACACGCAUUAUUCGUGACUUCUUCAAAGGAUCGUUAUUGGGCUUCACAAUUAAUGUGAUUGGCAGCACUCAACCUUUGAAGAGAAAUUUUCCCCAAUACCCCUAGAUCUAGGGUUUGCAUUCAUAUAGUGCAUCCAAAUGUAAUAAAUUCUUUGGUUAAAAUAAGAAAAUCUUUGAUUAAAUCAUGCAACUAGCCUUGGCUAGGUCAAAGGGGUGCCUUGGAUUUCAUCCUUGCAUUCCCCUUUGUCAAAUGUGACUCCCGAACCUUUUUCUUUGAUUUACGUGGACUAGGAGUCGUUUAAAAGGGGUUUCUUACUACCUUUUCCUAUUUUUUCUUUAAAAAUUCAUUUUUUUUUGUGACUUGGUACACAUUAACUCAUUACCAAGUGGCGACUCCAAUUUUUAUUUCAAAAACCCUUUUUAAACUAUAAUUUUGGGUCAAAUCGUCGCAUUCUCAACCCCCCAUUUAGACCCAUUUUUUCUUUUAAAUCACAACUCAUUUUCCAAUCACAAAAAAUUCAUUUUUUAAACCAUUUAUUUAUUUAUCAAAAAUGGGGCGCGACAUGUAGAUAGAGUUAGAUGAAAACACGGGAAGAGAGAGAUUUCAAAGGCUAUAUAUCUGUUUUGAGGCACUAAAAAAAAGGAUUUAAAUCUGUAUGCUAGUCUGUGAUUGAUGCAGAAGGCUACCAUUUAAGAGGCCCACAUCCCAGGGUAUUGUUACUUGUUGUAGGGAUGGAUCCAAAUGAUUGCCUUUAUCCCAUUGCUUAUGCAGUAGUAGAGGCUGAAAACAAGAAGUCUUAGAAAUAGUUUAGUGAAUUUUUGAAAUGUGAGUUGUCCAUUUAUGACCAAAGAAAAUGGUCAUGCAUUAGUGACAAACAAAAUGUAAACUCCACUAGUGUUUGUUAACUUAAAUACAUGGUUACUUGCUGAAUUGAUUUUUUAUUUUUAAUUUAAUUUAAUUUAAAUAUUUUAUUUUAUUUUUCUUUAAACUAGGGUUUAGGGAUUGCAAUUCAAGAGGUGCUUCCAGAUAUUGAGCAUAAACACUGUGUUAGGCACCUUCACAACAACUUCAAAAAGUUGCAUGCAGGUGAAGCAUUGAAGCAGAGGUUUUGGACUUGUGCUAGACCAUCACACAUGACAAGGUUUCAGAACCAAGAGCUUGAGGGAAUACGAUGAUAUGCAUGGAAAUGGUUGACAAAUAACACUUCACCCUACUAUUGGUCAAGAUCCCACAUCCUGUCCACACUCAAGUGCGACAUUCUGAUCAACAAUUUAUGUGAGAACUUCAAUUCGGUCAUUAUGGAUACAAGGGAGAAGCCAAUUCUGAAGAAUGCUUGAGACAACCAGAAUUUAUCCAAUGGAACGGCUUAGAACAAAAAGAGACUUGAUGAAGAAGAGAAAUGACAAGAUCUGUCCAAAAUUCGAAAAAAGCUUGAAAAAGCCAAAGAAGAAGUUACUUCAAAUAUUGCACUAUGGUUCAAGGAAGAUCAGUUUGAACUGACACACACAUAUGGGAGAAAGCAUGUGAUUGAUGUUAAGAACCAAACAUGCACAUGUAGAAGAUAAGACUUGACUAGCUAGCCUUGCUACCAUGCUAUUUGCUAUAUUUCCUUGACUAGAGGGACUCUCAAGAGCUUGGUUCAUCAAUACUACUCAAGGAAUAACUACUUGAAAGCAUACGAACCAACAAUAGCACCAGUGAGUGGACGCUUGGGUUUAGUCAAAAAAAAAGAUUUUAUGUUGCCUCCUAAGAAGUUAAACUCCUAGUAGGCGAAGGAAAUUAAGGAGAAGGGAGCCUGAUGAACCAAGGCCCAAUUUGGUAGGUGCAACAAAACUACCUAGAACACGACUUGUGAAAAUGAAAUGCUCAAACUGCCAUGAAGAAGCCACACUAUGAGAAAAUGCCCAUGGUUCAUUCUAGCCAAUGAGCUCCUUGGUUAUAGCUCUGGCAGGGCACUAUCAUCUAAGUCCAAUAAACGUAGCUUUUGCAAGAAUUUGGGCCAUAACAAAAGAACUAGUAAGACAAAGAAGAAUAAUUCAAAUGAAGACUACCCCUCAACUACUAUAGCUAGUAGUUAGGAUUGUUUGCUAAUAUUUUGGUUUUUUGGUCCUAAACUUAUCACUAACAAAAAUUGCAACUUUUGGUUUAAUAGAUGCACAUCAGGCCUAUAAUGAUAAAGGGAGUGAAAGACACCAACAAGAAGCUAGUACCUUGUCUUCAGCAAAUGAUGGUUUGUGCCAUUAUAUAUGUCCAAAAAUUAUUCUAAUUGAAGUUAAUUUAAUUUUUGCCAUUAUAUUGCUCAACUACUUGUAAGUUUGCCUAGUCUCAGGUGAAAAUUCAGAGGUAGGUACUGAACAUGCUGCAGUGAUAGACAUCCAGCCUUCAGCUCCACAAGAAAUUGAUACUAGUUUGCCUUAAAAGGUCAUGAAGUGUUCAGUUUGGAAGACAAUUUGACAUAAUAUGCAAAUGUGUGACACAUUUCAGGCUCGAGAUUGGAGAAAGAGAAGAGCUGAUAUGUCCGUGUAAGUCUAUUUCCUCCUUCAAAAGGGAAAGAGACUAGUAGAAAGCAAACGGUUAGUUUGCUUAUGUAAUUGUUAAGCAAACUUGAAUUCAUUGUCUAGUCUAUUUUCUAAAGUAUUUAUUUGGUUUAUACAGGUACAUAGGUUGUUAGAUGAAAGUGAUGAUGCAGGCAUAACAAUAUUGGGAGGAUGAGGUGCUGCAUAUGAAGAUCAACUUAGGCUUAAUUUUUUGUUGUAGAUGUUUAUGGAAUGAAGUCUCCUCAAUAUAGAUCUUCCAAUCGUAAUUAAAGUAGUGUACUAAUCUUGUGAGGUGUGUUUAGGGAAUGAACUAGGUCAUUGUUUUGUAAAAGUUAGGCUAUGUGACCUUAACUUGUCUCUUGUUGGCUAGACAUGAACUAAUCUUAUGAGCUGGGCAUUGAUCUCUUUUGGAUGACUGAAAUGUGCUAGUUAUAUGAAGUUUUCCUAUUGUCCUUUUUUACCCAAAAUUUGACAGGGAUUGUUUGGUUUGGUUAUGUUAAGGGAAUGUCAAAUUUUAUGGCAAAAUUCUGCCAAACUUUUUUUAGACACCUAGUGCCACAACCUUGAAAUAUGUCUAGAUUUCUCAAUUUAUCCAACCAUUGCAUAUAUUACUUAGGCAAUUGCUACAUCAAAUGGUUUACAGUGCUUUAUAACCACACUAUAACCAAACAAAAAUAAGGUUAUUUAAUAGCAACCUUCCAAUUUCGUAAAUAAAUGGUUAAAUCUAACUAUAUAGCUUUCCCUAAUUCAUCUAAGCCAACAUUUGGAGCCCCAAAUCUAUGGCAGCAUGUUCAUUUUUGUCGUUGCCAACAACCAUAGUAAACGAUUACAAAAACUGACAACUUGCUCCUAGCUUUUAGCUUUCAAAUUUUAUGUUUCAUCAUCUUGUUCUCUUCUUCCAACCUUGCAAGUUCAAUUUUCAUGACAUGGUUCUCUCGUUCGAUUUUCCUUAGUUCCUUCAAGAAUUUUGCCAUCAUAUUUUUCGUCAUCUUUGGCAUUGGUGGAUCAUACCACAAAAAGUACUUGCAAGCCUUCAAUGACUUUAAUGAAUAGUAAUACCCCUAUUAGGUGUAGAAAUUAGAUUGCUCGUUAUUGCAAAGCAAAUGAAACUAAAUCAGAAAUUAUUACUAAAUUCUCAAUUUAUCAAAUUAUAUUGCCAAAACAAAAAAAUCCCCUAAAAUAUAUUGACAAAAUUAAAAAAAUACCCCAAAAUUAUUGCAGUUGUGGAAUCUUCUUCCUGGAUUUGCAAUGUCCAUGAAGUAGCAAUUCAACAUAGUUUAUUACAAUCACAAAACACUGCCUUAUCUCCAUUGUAAUGUUCUACCUUCACUCUCUUCAUCCCUAAUACUCCCUCCGUCCCAUUGUUAAUGUCAUAUUUCCACUUUUUACUUGUCCCAAAAUUUGAGUCACUUUAAAAAAGUCAAACUACUUUUAAAAUUACUUUCCAAUUAUACCCUUCUAUUGAAAAGUCAAAAUUGCACUAAACAAUUAUGAUGGGCCCUGCCAUAACACAUUUAGCUCCUUGCGUUUCUUUUUAUUUCCGUUACUUUUCUUGGACUUCAAAUCUUUGUUAUUUCUUUUUUCUUCUUUUUCCUUGCUUUUUUUUUGUGUUUUUCAUUUCCAUUUCUUUUCUUGCACUUCAAAUCUUUGUUUUUUUUUUCCUUUUUUCUUUUUUUUCCUUGUUUUUCAUUUUUUUCUUUUCUUUACUCUUUUCAAGCUACACAAGUGUUUGCAGAUGCAAUGAAAGUUUCGUUUCUUGUCUUUCUAUCUUUUUUUUUUUAACAAAAGAACAAAUUUCUUACAAUAAUACAAAUCAAGUUUUUUUUUUGGAUAAACAAAUAAAGAAUGCUAGAUGCAUUCCUUACCCUUUUGUUUAUCACUAUUUAAUUUUUUUAAUGUAAAGGUGAAAAAAGAAAAGGUAAAAUUUGUCCUAUAACUUGUGUUCUUGCUCUUAAAUUUGCCUCUAGUAUCAAACUAACAAAUAAAUAGAGUGAAAAAAAUAUCAAAGAAAAAAUAAAAUGAUCAACUAGUGCGUAUUACGUUGAAAUCCUAAACAUCCAAGCAAGGCAUUAAUUUGAAAGCACCAAGACUAAAAUAACAUUUACUGCUCAUUGCUUCCAAGAGUUCAUGGUUGUCUAUACAAAUCAACAAAAUACAAAAUCUAUGCCCCUAAAAUAGAUUUGAGUGACAACCAAAUCUUAUAAGCAACCCUCAAAAAUAACUUAGGACCAAAAGUCAAGCCCCCUGUUUUGCACAAAAGCAUUAGUAGCAAAGUCUAGCAAAAGCCAAGUCAUACAAAAGCAUUAGUACCAAAAGUCUAGCAAAAGUCAAGUCCCCUGUUUUGUACAAAAGCAUUAGUAGCAAAAGACAAGUCCCCUGUUUUGUACAAAAGCAUUAGUAGCAAAAGUCUAGCAAAAGACAAGUCCCCUGUUUUGUACAAAAGCAUUAAUAGCAAAAGUCAAGUCCCUUGUUCUGCACAAAAAGCGUUAGCAUAAUCCAAGUCCAGAAACUUAAUCCAUGACUUGAUAUACCUUCAGAACAAAAUAGAGAAAAAGAAAUCAAUCAUAAGUUAGAUAGCAUUAUAACUACCUUUAUCAUAAUUUAGAAGUUAGCAAAGUUUAAAUAAUAUGGAAAUUCUAACCAAUACCAGUACAUUCAUGCUUGUAGAUAAUGGAUGAUUUUGUCAAUAAGCUCCUUAUCACAUCCAAUUUGCAAAGGAAGAUUUCCAUCUCUUAUCAACCGUUGCUUCCCAAUAUGUGGAACUUUGUAAUUAUUCCCUCCACAAUUCUUCAUCACCUCAAGCAUACAUAGUUGUAAGGUUAAGAACACAUUGUUGAGACUUUCAGAUGAUAAUUCAUCGAAAGACUUUUCAACAGCAGAAAUUAGUUCGUCAAUAGAGUUAGGUGCUUCUUGAUGCUGGAGUGAUUGAAUGGCUCUAAAAUACCCAAGAUCAAGAACAUUCAUAUCAGGGCUAUUAGGUGGUUGAAAUGAUAAACGAAUAUCAAAACCUUCUCUUGUGGCGGCUUCUAUGAACUCUGUGAGGACUCAAAAACUUCGUUUGUUUUAUCUAUUUUACUGGCUAAAAUAAGUAUUUACUCACCCUUAUUUUUUUCCAAACUUUUUAGGCCUAAUUAAAUGUAUCCAUAGCUUAGUUAUAUUUUUAAAGCGAUUCGUUUCGAAAUUUAAUUUCUGAAGGCCCGUUAAGUGAAAAUAGUAAAUACGUGACUGGAGUAAAUAAUCGAUUCGAGAAAACUUCAUAUAACGAAUACGUGGUUAAAUUAAAAGCCUAAUUGAAUUUUUAUUAAAAAAAAAGACUAAACUAACUUCUUAUACUAGAAAUACCACCACCGACUGAAGAAGCCUUGCCAUCUCCGCCGGUUCCAUUCUCCUUUUCCAAUUGAACACUUCACCACCCCAACUCCAAAACACCACAGCACCUUCACCCUCCACUUUCCUCCUCUGCCGUGACCGAGAGUGAAGUGAGAAAGGGAGAGAGAGCCGAGCCUUCUACUUCAUCACCUCCUGACCGCAUGCUAGAAAUAAAAGUGAGAGACCUGCUGCUUUCCCUCAUCUCAUCCGCCAGCCUGUAUAAGAGAAGGAGAGGAAACGGGCUGCACUUCGAACCAUCCGAGAGAAGGAAAAAUUGACAGCACCUUGUCGCGUGUAUAAGCUGCAACCUGAGGUAAUUUCUGAGUUAGAAGGAGUUGAUUAGUGGUAGAUGCAGUGAAUUAGGGUCAUGCAUGAAGUGUUUGUGUCUCGGAUGAUGAAACCAAAGCAUGAGAAAAACCUGAUUAGGAAGAAAUUGGAAUUUGCCGUGGGACUGAUUUGGAAAAUGCAGAUUUAAUUCUGUCUCUUUGUAGUAGUUUGAGCUGAUAGAUGCGUUUAACUAAUUAAGAACAAGGUAAUUAAGCUCUGCAUGCAGCCCCUUGGUUCGGUUAUGCUAGAAAAAUAAGAAUGAAAAACAAUCUGGCCGCAUGCAAGCUCAUCCGAAGGUAGCAAACAGAAUUUCUGGUUUUCUUGGAUGAUUAUGGCUGUUGUUUGAAUCCGAUUUUGAACUAGAAAUAUUGAUUAGCUAGUUAAGUAUUUGCAUGUUAAUUUUUAGCACCUAAUACCAUGAAUUAACCGAAGGAAAAGUUGGAUUUAUGACCAAUCUAAUUGCUGGAAAUCUGUUGAGUUGGCCGAGAGAGGGAAAGAAAGAAUUUCCAGUUUUUCUCUUCAAAUCUUGGCUGCAAAUUUCGUAUUGUGGUUCAAUAUACCUCAUAACACAAUAAUCACCAUAUGCAUGCUGAGUUUGAGUGAACAAAGUAAUGAAUUUUGUUAGGGAAAAGUUCGUUUUCCAAACUAUCUAUUUGCUGCAAUUUUUCCAGCCUAGCCGAUGGUGACUCCUUUGAGUUUUAAUGGAAAAUUUUGAUGGUGGGCUCUAUGAACUCCCACCCUUGGAUUGAUGAUGGAUAUAAUGCUAGUUUAGUGUUUAAAUAGGUAGAUUAAUGAUACCUAACUAGUCUAGACUCCAAGAGAUGCAUAGUUCAAAAAUGUUCAGAUUUGCUCUGUUUUAAUCGCACCCCUUUUUGCAAAAUUUUGAGGGUUUCAUGAUUUGUAUAUCAUGUUGAUAUGUUGAAUAUAUAGUGUACAAAGUUUCAUUGAAAAAAUAUUGAGGUUUGGAUGGUCAAAUAAAUUGAUUUCACAAAGCUAGUAAAUCUGGAACUAUUUCCGAAAUGCUCUGACCAGCUUUCGUAUUUCGGUCAUAAUUUUGAGCUCCGAUGUCGAAAUCGAGUGCCGUCAGCGGCAUUUGAAACUAGACAUUCCAACCUUUCCGACGAUAUAAAAUGCACGUUCUGGUCCCAUGUAUGUGAGCCAAACCAACUAUUUUAAAUCGGCUGUUCUGUUUCUCUGUUUUACAAGAACAAAAUGCUGAGGCUGCAACUUGUGACUCGAAUUCGAGCUAGUUGUGUGCCGAAUUUCAAAAUGAUUUCUUCUGUGAAAUUAUAGCUCUAUGAAUGUGUUUUCCAACACCUUAAACCAUGCCAAAUUCCGAGUUAAUUUGAGUGAUCUGUGAUCAAAAUAUGAAACCUGCUCUGUCCUUGAAAACCCUGAUUUUUAGACAGAUUUGAUGCAAGGUUUGGCAAAGACUUGCUAACUGAAUAUUUUGAUGCUAAACACUUACCAAAUGUACCAUGAACGUUCUUUAAAUUUUGACUAAACAAAUGAACCAGGUUUGGAGGAAUUUUUCUUUGACCAAAUGUCUGAAAUGGAAAAACAAAAGGUUCAAGGCAGUUUUGUCUUAGUAUUUGCGAAAUUUUAGGUGUUUGAUUGACCACCUUUCCGAAGUUAUUUUUCCAUGAAAUUUGGUAGAGGGACAACCCUUAUAUGGUAGUAGUAUACUUCUAAUUAUGGUGUUAUUCUGAGGCCGUUUCAUGGGUCAAAUAAAUUACCAAAGUUCAUGACUCGAGUUUGAAAAACCCAUGUUUCACAAGGGAAUUUUAGUAACUUUGAGCUACCGUAUCUUGGUGCUCAAAACCCCAUUUCUUGUUCCGUUUGUUUUGUUAUACUCUUGGAUUACAACACUAAUAGAGUUGAAAAUUUCAAAAGCUAGUUCCAAACAAGUGAAUUUUGCUGAAUUUUCAAAGUUGGCCAAAAACCAACUUAAAUCUGCCUUAUGAACCAAAACAGUAAUUUUGAGCCCAUUUUUGACUAUCUUCCAUUUAGAAUCAUGGAAAAGUGUAUUCUAGGAACUUUUAGUACUUUCAAAGAGGUUUCCAAUAGUACCAAGUUUUCCAAUUUUGGGCUUGUAGAGAGUAAGAUAUGAUUUUUCAAAGAUUACUUGUUAAAUCUGAAAUUUUCUAACUUAAAGGAAACUAAGGGGUUUCGAACUCUUCAUUUCUUUCAAUAUCAUUUGAUUGUUUGACAUUUGAAUCCAGAGAUGGAAAUCAGAUUUGUCUUGUGUUUUAAAACCCCACUUUUGAACCUCGAGUUACACGAAUUCUUAGGCUCAUCUCCGCGUUAAUUUCUUAGAUUGCACUAGCGUACAAUCUUCAUCGAAAACUAGAGAAUUCGUAGCGAUAUUGAGUGGUACCUGAAUUAUUGUUUACUCAGGCAAUCGAGGAGAUCUCCAAGAGGAACUCGGAGCGGACACCUAAAACGCUUGUUUGAGACCUAUCGCGCUUGUUUGACUAGGUGAGUGUUCUAUAUAGGAAUACGUAAUUGAAUAAGUCUAGGACAUGCUUAUUCAUGAUUAUUAAGUGCUAAGUACUAUGUGUUAAGUAUUUACAAUACUCAUGCCUAUAUAAAUAAUGUAUACUUGCAGUGCAUAUCGACAUGAAUUGGCUAAAGUGUUUUCGUGACUUGAUAUGUGAUAAUUGGAAAAAUGAUUUCUGAUCCAUCGAAGUUAGGCGAGUGUGUACUUUACCUCACUCGACCUAUUCAAAUGAUGAAUUCUACCUUUUGUUGAAUUACUUGAUUACCUGUGCAUGUUGUAAGCUACAAGCUGAACUUGGGCCCUGCCUUGGUUACUGACCUACUCGAGCCAAGACUGGACUCGGUCGAGUAGGUUGGAACCCUGGACAACCGUUUCGGUAUACUCAAGUACUACCACUAGAGGGAUAAGGUGAUGGCCAGUCAACCGAAGGAGUUAUGGAUCGGAGUUAUAAGGACGGGAAGUAGACCGAGUACUGUAUCUUUUUGUGCUUGCUUUACUAUUUAUAAUGUUAUUGCUCUCCUAGUUGACAUUUCUCGGGUAAGACUCCUCAUGAGCAUUAAUCUCUGAGAUGAAGCAAUCCUUGUAAUGUUCUUCUAGUCAGACGAGCCACUAUUUGUUUGACUAAAAAUUCAUGAAAAUAUAUUUAUAUGGUCAUUCAUUCCAAAAAUACGUUAGUGAUUUUAGAUAAUUUAUGAGUUGUACUCAUAGUAAAGUUACCAGCAAAAGUACUACUACUACAUGUGUUUUCAAAGUAGCAAUUACCCGGGUAAUGAUUAUCACCUCAUGAUAACCUGCCAUUGUGUAACCUCGAACCAUGCAUAUGACAUGCACAACGUUCUUGAUUUGUUUGAACUGUUAGAGUGUCUUGGAACCUCACUGGGCUGUGUAGCUCAUUCCACGUUGUGGUUUUCUUUUACAGGGUUUGAGACCAAGGGUGCUCGGAAGUAAUACUAGAUUGUUUACUUUUAUGAAUGUAUUUCGAGUUAAACAAUGUAGUUUUGCCUUGGGUUGCCACUUGAAGAUGGAAAAGUGUAAACCCUGGAUUUGUAUGAGACUUGUAUGAAGUUGUUACUUGGCUUGUAAGGAUGCAUUUGAAUUGUAUGUUUUGUUUCUUGGGUUGGAAUCGGGAAGGUAUUUUGAGAAUCGACGUUGACUAUCUUAAAGCAUUGUUAUCUCUGAAGUUAAUGUGAUUCUAGAAACCGGCUUAUUUGGAGGGAAACGAUGUUGUAAUAGAUUAGGUUAUACUUCGGAAGGAUUUUUGCUAGCUUGCUUGCGUGAGUCCUGGCGAGAGCUAGGCAGACGGCCCGCCAACCCUCUGGUUUGCCUUAGGGGAAAGUGGGGUCGCCACAAACUCAACAUCCAUUGGAUCAAUAUGUGGUUUUGCAUUAUCUUGUUGGAUGAAGAUAGGGCUGAUAACAUCACUUUGUGGCCAUUUAGCACGAAUUGCAAGCAAAACAUUAUCAAUUAAGCACCUUCUAUACACUUCCUUGGUCACUGAUAGGAUAGGCUUUGUUUCUAGAGUACCAGCAACACGAUUUUUGCUAUUCCUUUUAGCUGGUUCUUUGAAGGCAAAAGGAAAUAUUCCAAUUUUCCCAUCAAAGUGCUUGUUUCUAGAACAAUCAAAGCGAGGUCGAGCAGCUGCAGCUAGAAACAUAACCUUAACAAUAAACUUUUUACUCCUACAAGUCCUCAUAGGGUGUUCUUCUUCAGGAUGUAGGUAGUAUUUCUCAGACUUAUUAUUUCUCAGACUCCUUAGUCAUGUAGAACCACUUUUCAUCGAUAUGAACCAUAUUGAACAUGUUUUCGAAAACAGGUGCAUCAUUAAGACUCUCUUGUUGAAACAUUGACAAACAAAAUUUGAGUCUUACCAAUUUAUUGUCAUCAGUAAGGUGAGGCUUUAAUGCAUUUGAAUGUGCUUUGAUAACACCUUCUUUUAUUCGUCGAUGAAGAGUAGACUUGGCAACUUUCAUUUUGGUUGAUAGAGAACGAAUAUUUGUUCGACACCGUAGAGGUAUUUCCAUGAUAGUACUGAAGUCUAUCUCUACCCUUUUGCGUCCUGCCCUCUUAGGAAACCUGCGAGAGAUGUCAACCGAGCCUCCAUUAAUGAUUGUAGACUUUGCUCUUUCCCAAAUUCUUUGUACUGUCCUCAUGCUGAUUUUGAACUGUGUUGCAAUAACUUUGGUUAAUCCUCUUUCUAGUUGCCCACCAUAACUAUAUUGCAAUAAUGCUUCAAAUAUGGCUUGCCUUUGCUGAUUUGUCAACUUUUUCCUAGAGAUUUCAUAAUUUUGAAAACUAUGAUUAUCCAUGUUCACUGUGGAAUAUUAUCAAACAGAAUUUGUGCAAUAGACGAAUCUCUCUAUAAUCUCAUUAUAUAGAGAAUAAAGGCAUCAGAAUUAUCAGCUUCCAAAAUCUAUUUAUAAGAAACAUGAGAAACAAAAAGCUUAAAAAAAUGCAUCUACAAAUUUUCAAUGAACUGCCAAAUUUCAAGAAAAAAAAGGGAAAAACAACAAAUGGCGCCAAAUAAAAGAUUAGCUAAAUUAUGCUAAGUCUCAAGAUUAUCUACUUCAAAUUGAUCAAAAGAUCAUAAAACAAAAUGAAAAUAAAAAAAAAAGCACCAACAAAGUGAUAGACGGAACUGUAGAAAUCUUACCUUUUUCCAUUGUCAAUCUUCUGUAACUGAUCUUGUUGAUUUUAUGAAACCCAAGUAUACAGAGGAAUAGUUAGAGUUGGAAACGGAUGUUUGCUUUACUUUAACUUGUCUUUGCCUUUUAGUCAAAUGUCUUAAUGGCAAGUGGUCCCCAACACCCAACAACUUGUUAUUUUACUCCACGGACAACAAAGGGCACGAUUGGAAUAAUCAGAUAAGUGUGUCCCAUUAUGCUAUUGUACAUAAAAAACGUGUUUCCCAAAAAGCGUCCCAAAUUUUGGGACGGAUCGAGGGAGUAAUUUUUUACUUUCUUCACCCCCAUGAUUUGAUUGAUGGUAGCAGCUUGUAUUUGAUACCAUUGAAAUAGCUCCUCCACUGAUGCAUGUUGCUGUAGCUCCUUUGCAAAGAGAAUUGAGAAAUUGUGAGGAGCCGUAAUGGCUUAAAAGACUAGUUGCUCGCCCCUUUAUUUUAAACAUUAAGCACUUCCAAUCAUCUUUCUAAUCUAUUCAUCCAUUAAUUGCAGAAGAUUAGGCUAGUGUGACAACUAUGCCCCCAUAGGUCCACGCAGAUUGAGUAAAAUGUGGUAAAAAGUCUACAUUGGAUGUAAAUACUUCUUCAAAUACUAAAUUCAUUAAAAUAAUUCAUAAAGGACGAAAUUGGCUUUAGUGAAAAUGUUUAGGUACCAAAAUGGCGAAAUUUUUUUUUUUUUUUUUUUUUUGCUUUUUUGAAAGUCAUAUAAAUGCAGGGUUAUUGGCUAAAGUUAAGACCUUAGAAUUUAGAGGAUUUUGGAUUCAAAUCUCUUGUCCCUUUUCCCACGUCUUAAAUUUCAUUCUCUUCCUACUUAAAAAAAAAUUAAAACAAAAGUGUUGGGUUAUAAUUGUUAAAAGUUUAUUGCGUAUUUUAAACUUCAUUGCCCCUCAACUCUCAAGUACCCUAUAUUCAAACUAUCUUGUGAAAUCCAUUGCAAGAUGAAAAGAGAGAAAGAAUAUUGCUUGAAAUUUCCCUAAUUAUACAAAAUACUCCGAUGUGUUUAGAAUGAUUUUCCAGAUCUAUUGUAGGAGCAUUAGAGGAAAGAUGAGAGUGAACAGAUGAGAAAAGAAAAAGUGUGGAGAGCUUUUCUAGAGUCUACCGAUUACAGAGGUCAAAAUCCCCUAACAUAGUCGAUAAUCACACUUGAAAAAUUUUAGGUCUUCCAUUCCCAUAAAUCAAUACCGAUUAGGGAUGGCAAUAGGGGAGGGCACCCGCCCCGCGAGGGUACAAAUGGGGCGGGGGAUGGGGCGGGGCGGGGGCAAAAUAUUUACCCCCGCCUUAAAGCGGGGUGGGGGAUAGGGCAACAUACACCCGCCCCAUCCCCCGCAUAAAAUAUAUAUAUAUAUACAUAAAAGUAACAAAACCCCUAUCUGUUCAAGGUAUUUUUGGUUAGUGUUUGGGAAUUCUUCCUCUCUCCUGUUAGUUCUCAAAAAUGCUUGGACAUACGAGAAGAGUUUUGCUUUUCGUAUAGGCUUGCUUCUGAUUUUUUUUUUGCUUCAUGUACUAGGCUUUUGUGUGCAUAAAUUUCUAAGUUGUUCAAUCAUUUUAGAUAGCCAUGGAUAUAACUUAUUAUGGUGGGGGUCAUCUUUAGCUAAUUAGUUUAAGAGACCUGCUAUUACUUAAUGGGAAAAGCUCUAUGUUAUUGUAAAGCUAUGCUGUGGUUUUGGAUAUGAAUAUCUGGCAUCUUAUGUACUAAUACUCGUUUUACAGCAAUUAAAUGGUUUAAGAUUUUAAUAUUAUAAAAAAAAAAGAUAGCCAUGGAUAUAUGUAUAAUGCUGAAAUAACUCCAAAUGAUAUAUUUUGGUCAGGAGAUGGGCUGGUAACUGAAAGUCAGAUAUACAUAGAGGGGCAAUCAAGUACAACCUAAUAAAAAUUUCAGUAAAUUAUUGUAAAUGAACAUUUUAUGAUAAGUUGAUUUCUUUUCUCGCGGGGAACCGCGGGGGACCGCCGGAGAAAUGGAGCGGGGGCGGGGGACGGGGAACGGGGGGAGUUAUUUGACAAUGGGGCGGGGGAUGGGGGAAGGAACCCCGCCCCACCCCCGCCCCAUUGCCAUCCCUAAUACCGAUAGUUGUCAAUCAAACAUUAUCAAUCAGAAUCAACCCCUUUAAAAAGUCAUAGUGGAGGCCCAUUACCCCAACCAAAUGCAUGGUAAAACCCAAUAAACGUUGGCAAAUUGAUUUCUACCACUUUUUUGGCAUCUAAUGCAAAUAUUAAUCUUUCAGACCCAUAUUUUGUAUGCUAGUUUCAUUCUUGCCCUUAUUUCUACGUUAAAAUUUAGGGAUAAUUUCAGAAACCUCAGGGCCCUGAGGUUUCUGACAAUUUCAUUGAGCUCCCAUAAGAUUUGAAAAUUAUACACACCUCUCUUGAUUUGAUAGUUUUAGUUAGGGCUGCAAACGAAUCGAGCCGCUCACGAGCGGCUCGAGUCAAGCUCGAGUCGAGCUCGAGCUCGAACUCGAGCUCAGAAUAUUAAGCUCGUCGCGAGCUUGAGUAUAUAUAUAUAUAUAUAUAUAUAUAUAUAUAUUUUAUUUAUUUAUUUAUUAUUUAAUAAUAAAAUUACGUAUAUUAUAUAUAUAUUUUUUAUUUUUUAUUUUCAUAGUAAAAUUACGUAUAUAUCCUUAAUAUUUUAUUAUUUAUUAAGAAAAAAAUAUUAUUUUAUUUUUUUAAAAAAAUAAAAUAAUUAUUUUUUAUUUUUUUCGAGCUCGAGCUUGGCUCGACUUGAUUCGAGUCGAGCUCGAGUUUGAAAAUUGCUGGCUCGUCGAGCUCGAGCUCGGUAAAAUUUAGUCGAGACUCGGUUCGAUUAGCUCAAAACUCGACUCGGUUCGGCUCGUUUGCAACCCUAGUUUUAGUAACAAAAUCUUAAAAUAAUAUUGACUUGGUCAAAUUUUAAAAUGAAUACCCAAAAAAACCCCUGUGUAAUGAGUUUUAAUUUACUUCCCCAUAGAAUUAUAAAAUUAUCUAAUAUAAUUAUAAGGAAAAGACGCUGAAUUUUUCAUGUCCGUACCUAUUAUUUGAUAAACAACUAUAAUAAUAAUUUUAUCACUAUAAUAUGAUACUUUUGAUGGUAUUUUAUUAUGGAUUUAGAUUUAUAAGAUAGAAAAUAAAAUAUUGAAAUAAUUGAUUCAGAAUUUAUGAAUUUUUUGAGUAGUAGGAUUAUCAUAAUUUAGUAGUGAUUUUGGGCAAUUUAUUUUUGAUUUAUUAUUAAUUUUAAUACCAAAAAAUAGGAAACAAAGAUUAGAAAAAAACAUCGAUUACAUAUAAAGUUAACACAUCAAAAAAAAUCAUUAGUUCAACAUUUAGUUACAAUAGAAACUAAAGAUAAUAGUGGUAAUUUUACAAUUUUAUUGGCAAAAAUUAAAAUAAGAAGGAAAAAGAAUGAAAAAAUAAUUUUAAAAUCAUUCUAAGUAUAAGCAUACCAAACAAAAGAAUUCCACUAAAAUAUUUAACGGUAGUAUUAUCAUUUUAAAUGACAAGGGAGGUAUGUAUAAUUUUUCAAACCUCAGGAAAGCUCAAUGAAAUUGUCAGAAACUUCCCCUAAAAUUUAUUGGUAUUUCUGAAAUUUUAUUGGUAUUUCUAAGUAUAUGCUCAGUGAAAUUUUAUUGGUAUUUCUGAAAUUAUCCCUAAAAUUUAAAUCGAUGCGAGCAUGAAAACUAGGAGUAGGACCAUGUGCUUUCGGAAAACAAAGAAAAAUGAACGUGUCCUGCGCCCAAAUUGAGAAGUGGACAAUCAUCUAAUGACAUUUCCUAGACCCCACAACCUAAGUUUUAACCACAUUUUUAUGCGAGUCUUUUAAGUGCUAAAAUCAGGAAAACACAACAAAUUUCUUUAUCAUAUUUGAAAAGUGACAAAAAUUUUGGGAUAAAUCGAAAAGGAGAGUAUGUCAUGUGACUUUUUGGUCAUUCUGGAGAUAGGAUGGAGACGGAAGGAUAGUCAUAUAUGUCGUGUGCUAUUUAUUUUUUUUUUUUGUCAAAGUUAGCAGACUUUUGGACGCUUUUCUAUGAACUUUAACCCCGUGAGAACCCUCAAAAGUCGUGAAACCUUUAAAAGUGUGCUAUUUAUUUGUCAGAAGCAAAAUCUGUCAUUUAAAUUAAAAAGUAAUAAAAAACUGGAAAUCCUUCUUAUUUAUCACAAAUUGCAUCACAGCCCCUCUAGUCACCUAAGUCAAGAAAACGCCUAGCUCAUCACGAUAUAAUGGUCAUCCAUAAACAAACUCAACAAUGCAUUUAGAUUUGAGUCACUUUGUGGAAACACCAUUUCUCUAGGCAAUGCUUUACCUCUCCUCUCUCAAACGGCUAAACCCCUUUUGCAAUCGUUGGCUUCUCUUCCGACAGCGACGCCACCGAGUAUUCCACCUUUGAGAGCAAGGCCCAAAAAACGUCAAUCAAACCCAGAAAUUAAGUGUAAGGCAAAGCUUUUGUCUAAUGUCACCCUUUUUGUUUUUUCUUUUUGUUUUGGAAGCACCCAUUGGUUUUUUGAGAAUAAUUUUUAUUGUACCGCCAUAUAUCAUUUAAGGGAAAGUUUGGAUAAUAUUGCAGGUUUAUUUCUUUUUUUUUUAUUUUAACAUAAUGCCUUGCAAAAGUACAAUAAAAAAGUGAAUUCCACAGUGAUCCAAUAAACAAUUUGGUGAUUACGGUCCUAUUUGGGGUUGUGGUGCUUUUGAAAAAAAAAAAGUACUUUUAGAUGCUUAAAAUACUCUAAAAGUGUUUGAUGAAUAUCAUCCCAUAAAAUUAGGAGUAAAACUUUUGGCGUUAAAAACACUUUUAACAAAAGAUCAAAUUUCGUACUUUUAGAGUAGCUUUUAUGAUUUACAAAAUAAAAUAUCAAAUUUAAUCAUCUUAUCCUAUAUUAUGAACUAAAUUUUCUCUUUUAAAAGUUUUUAAAUUACAUAUUAUCUAAUAUAAUAAAUACUUAUUGAAUUAUAUUUCCAAACAAUAUAUUUAAAAGUACUUAAGCAUUUGACAAGUACCUUAUUCAAAAUUCUAUUAGCAAAGUACUUUUCAACAAGCUGCCGCAGAGCUACCGCAAUCCCAAACGGACCCUAAGCCUUAAAGGUAGAACAAUCUUUGCUACCACGGACCACUGGGCCAUGCUAGUUGUCUUUUAAUCCGUACUCUCAGCAGGAGUUGUAAAAAAAAAAAUCACACUGAAAUAAAGAGCUUUUAUAGCAUUUAUAAUUGGUUCCUUUUUCUCAUGGAAAAUCAGAUUACCAAACAUGUAAAUUAGCAACUAAGUGAAAAAGAAAAGGAAAAAAAAAAAGA
rnacentral:lncRNA from 1 species